rnacentral:lncRNA from 1 species
UUCCAAAUCCAGUAUUUUGUUUCAUGCAUUUGAGUCUAAUUACUGCAGUUAGAACUGUAUGAGGAGAUCCAACUGGUUCAAACUACGUUCAAAUUUGUCGUAGUUCCAACUCCAAUUGAAGAAUGUAAAUUUAAACCGGAGGUAAACUUACAUCCCUAAUUAUUUUUAAAUAAAAAAAUUUUCUACAUUGGAAGUAAUCACACCAACAAAAAAUUAUAAAGUUAUAAAAGUUUUUAAAUACACUUCUCAAUAAUAUGCAAUCAAACAUAUAAUUUAUAGUUGCAACGCCUUCUACUAUAUCCAACCAAACAAAAUAUAUAUAGUUACGACUAUUAUAUUUCUAACAGUAUUCAUCUCUAACUAUACUGUGUUUCUAAUUACAUUCAACAAAACGGCUCCUUAGUGUGGUUCAUUGAAAGGAAGAGAAUUAAAAAAUACACAAUUUGAAGUUUUGAAACUCAGGUAUCCAAUUGACCGUCCCUAGAGCAAGUGGCAAAGGACUUGAUGGUUGGUAUCGGAGUUCCCAAGUUCGAAUCCUAGUUGAUUUAUAUUUCAAUGAAAUAAACGAAGCAGAUAGCGUGCUAUCUAUCUCUCUCUCAAAAAAAAAGAGAAAAAGAAACUCAAGUAUCCACAAGGCCACUAUCCAAAGUCAAAUGGUUAAUUCAUAUUAACCUAAUCUAAGGGAAGCAUUUAGUUCUUCUAAAAAGCAUGCAAAACUAUUUUGCAAUAAAAGAAAAAAAGUUAUCAACCGUUCUUAGCGCAAGUCGCAAAGAGUUUGGUGAUUGGUAUCCGAGAUGUCAAGUUCGAAUCUUAGUUGAUUGACAUUUUUAGCUAAGUUUAUUUUUAAAUGAAAUAAAUGAAGCGGGUAGCAUGCUACCUAUCUCUCAAAAAAAAAUAAUAAUAAAAGAAAAAAGUUUUCUACAGAAAACACUCUUUUCCACAAUAUUCAUUUUCUGAAUGAAUAAUUCAAAAAAUAAAAAUAUUACCUUUCCAUAAAAUUUGAAAAAAAAAAAAAAAAUCUAGAGAACUUACUUUUCCUAUAAACCAAACGAACGAAAAAUAUUUUUCCAGUCAGAAAAUUAUUUCUCCGAAUCUUCUCCAGAAACCAAAACACCUACACUCAAACAAAUUUUGUGUUACAAUGGUUAGAUUACAUUUAAAAGUGAAUCAUAUCAGCAAAAGAGAACACAUUCAACAAUGAGUUGUAAUCUUAUAAAAUUCCUUUGUUUCCCCCCCUUUAUUUUGGCUAAUUUAUCAUCUGAAACAAGCAGCAAAAACUCAUCUGCAAAGUAGAUCUUACAAACUGAAUCAAAUGUUUCUGCUCUACACAAGCACUGAUUCAGCUUACUUGUUGCUUUUGUACCAAAACCUAAGCAUGGAAACUCAAACAUUUUCGCCUUCGACGGUUUUAUUCCCCAGCAACUGAUCGAGAAUGCUUCUCCAGUUCUUGUAAUCCAGCGGCUCGCCGGAGUCCUGGAGCUGCAUUCCGUUGACAAAGAAGAAAGGAGUUCCAGUCACGCCUCGCGAGCACCCGUACUGCGAAUCAGAACACGUCGUAAUGCAACUAAGACGCGUUGGAUUUGGAAUUGAAAAUGAUGUGAUGAGAAGUACUAAAGUAGCUGUUUCGCACCUUGAAGGAAAUUCUCGCGGCAUUAUCAGUCUGCGAAUCGUUGAAACCUGAUUUUAGCGCAGGCAGCGAGUUUUCACCGACGACAGUCGCUGCCAGAUUCACGAAAUCGCCAGUUAUCGAAGCCCUCGACAGUCUGUAAGUCGGUGCAUUGUAGUACUUCUCCUGCGCGACGCGGUCGUACGAUAACAGAAAAAAUGGCGAAAUUUGCACUAAUCAAAUCAUAAAACAGGAAAAAAGAGGGGAAAAAAAAAAUCUGAUACUAAUGGCUAUACAAACAUGAUAAGAAUUAUGAACAGGGCAAAAACAACUGCAGUUAUUUGAACUACCUGAUACUUGAAGAAGAGCUCUAGCAAGGGAAAUGUUGAGGAUGCAUUUAGCUUGUUUGCGAUGUGAAGCGAACGGCACGCCGUAAACGCGUUGCUGUGGUAACUGCAUAUUGCAUCCAAACAUAAUCUUUUAUCUCGAAGAACAAAAAAAACAGGUUUCUGAAACGCGAUAAGAACAUAUCAAAUGCUAGCUAACAAAAGUCUCUGCCUUUUUCUGCAGUAGUGAAAUGUUAAUAAAUGCAAUCUACUGAUCUGAAAAUCUUAAAAAUAAGAGACGAGGGAGAAUCGAGGGAUGUUUAGAUCUUCGAUUCGGAAAAAUUGUUUAGUUAACUUAUUUGAUCUGCAUUGCAUCUGUAACAUUAAGUUCAUGUAGAAAUCUUAAUACUUAAAGGGGCUGCAACACCUGCACAAAUUGCAGAAUGCGGGAAUCGAACUCUUGGCGUGCUCUUAUAUCACUUGUUUGAUCGUUGGCGCUGAUCAUAAUUUCUAAAACUUAGGCUGUUAGAGGGGAAGUAACCAAUUCACUUAAAACGUAUAGACACAGUACCCACUUGACCAUGAUUUGGCCCAAUUUGGCCUCCCCGCCAACUUGAUAUUCCGCGACUUGUUAUAAAAAUUUUCCUCUCAACUAAAGCAAGCUAAAUGUAUGAAAGCACAAUGGAUAGAAAAGAAGGAAGGAUAGGCGAGGAACAAUAGAUACCUGCUAAUGUUUCUUAAAUAGAAAGAUCAAAAUUUGAAACUAGAGAUAAAAGAAGGAACAUCCCACAAAAAUGAAUAAUACAAAGAGUCAUAUAAUGAAAGAGUAAACAAAAUUUUAUUGGUGUUAGGAUAAGAAAAGUACAAGUGAACAGAGAACAAUAGAGCAUUAAAAGGACAGGAACUGCAGAAUAUUCCUAAUCUUAUAGCAGACACAUUGUUGCGAAUCGGAAUAUAAAGAGGAAACGAAAAUCGCAAAAGAAUCUUAUGCCAUUCGUCCUAAUGGUGUUUGGAUUCGAGAUAUUUUGAUAGGUCAAAAACGUGGAAUAAUUAAAUAUGAGAAAAUUAAAUAAAGUUAGGGAGCUGGUGGGACUCGAAGUCAGAACCUGCUGUGCUGAUAUAAUGUUAAAUUAAUGUAAACAAAAAUUGUUAUUUUCUUCAAAAAUUAAGCUACUAGAGAAUAAUAUUUUUAAUUUAUAUAUUUUAUAUAUUCGACAAACAUGGCCACAUAAAGCAGAAGCAUAACAAAACUAGUUCACUCUAAAAGGAAAAAUCAAAAUAAAGAAAGAAAACAAAAUACAGUAUAUUAAGUUUCUUAUGGAUUGUGAAAUACUGAAGUACCGUUUUCUAUCAACUUAAAUUUUUACAGAAACGUAGUUGUUUAAGUCAAGUUUUGAGUCUUCGGCAUGUGACAUGAUAGUUUCAUAGUUCUCUACCACUCCAAAUCACAAGAACCUGUAUGGAAAAUCGGAACGAAAUCACAUAUGCAUAAAUUAAUCAAAAAAUAUAAAAAAAAAUUUCACUUAAAUUUUACCAGAAUUAUAAUUCAUAAUGUGAAUUUUAAAAUAUUAGAAUUUACCGACUAAAAGUCAAAGCGCAUUCGAUUCUCACAAAGUUUAGAUCGUUCUGAUGCAUUUCUUUUCAUAGAAAAGUAAUCUAUAACUAAGCUAGAGAAAGAGAGAGAGAGAUCAAGGCGACUCACGGAAGAGGAAAGGGAUGGGCGACGACGGCGACGCGGGCGGAGGAAUAGUAGCUUAUCGCCUGCUUCAGCGGCGGCCACGAGUCGCGGCUAUCGGGGCAAAGAGGAUCGAGAAAAGCCUCGACGACCACCGACCGGCCCCAGACCGGAGCUUUUCUAUACACGAAUCCGUCGAUCCUCGCAGGAAUCGGAAGCUGCGCCUCCGAGAACCCGAACCACAAGGAGAAGAAGAAUAAUGAAAAUAAGAAUAAAACGCACGACAUUGCAUUGAAAGCUGAUACUUUCUCCAUCUCCUCUUUUUUUUUUUUCUCUCUCUUUGUUGUAAGUUGCACUUAGACUAUACUAUAUAUAGUAGAGAAAAAAGAGAGAGAGAUGAAAAGCAGAGGAAAAGAGAGAGGGGGAGUGGAAAGUCAGAGAGAGAAGGAUGGCGGCAAUUUCUGAAGGAAUCUCAGACGGUUUGGGAACGGAAAAGAGUGCAGUCUGUUGUGGAUGUAGGCAAAUGCGUUGACAGGCUUCCCAAUUGAAUCUAGACACGUUUGUGGUUACUAGGAAGGAAAGUGAUGCAAUGACAUCAACAGCUAUCCAUAAAAUCAAUUAUGUUAAUCUAUUGAGAUUGCAGGAGAUUACGUCGCGUACAGUAAAAAAAAUUAUGAUAGCAAAAUAUUUUAUUUAUGUUUUUUACGUAAGUAAUAGCGCGUUUCGUAUUUCAAAAUUAGUCCACUAUGAUAUAUUUUCUAUUCUUCCACCAAAAAAUGAAGAAAAUUAUCUUUAUAUAUUUUCGCCCCAGCUUUGCUUUGCCUACUAUCAUUAUAUGGAUCUUAAAAAUUUUAAAAAUACUAAUUGUAAUGCUCAUAUAUAAUUUAUCAAAUUUAGAUGCUAUUUAUUAAAUAAUUUUUAAAAAAAUUUUAUGGGGACUUUUAUUUAUAUACUCCUUAGUACUAUUCAAAAUUUUCAAAAUUAUCUCUCACUUUCUAAAAUACCUUUAUAAAAUAAAUAUUUAUGGAAACUAAAGUAAGCAAUAUUGGAGAUGCAAUUGAUCCAGGUUGGUAUAGCUUCCGCCCCUUUUCGCUCCAAAUGGGACGGCAAGUAGCAAUCAAAACUAUAGAAAAAUGUAGCAUGUCUUGAAUCUUAAUAGAGCAUAAAGCGAGAGAGUCCUUGUUUUUUUUCUGAUCCGUCUCGAUCUGCUAAAAAUGUAUUCCUAUCUUGAUCAGUUCCAAAUGAAGCCGUAAGUGAGGAUAAAAAUAGAGUUAAAAUUAAUUCAUCCUGAAUCCCCCGACCCGAUAAGAAUUAGAGUAGGAGGUGGGGGAUCCCUCCCGGCCCGGAUCCGCCUCAUUUGCAUUACUAUGCAGAAUUUGGUUGCCAGAAAAAGUUAUUGUGUACACAAUACAAAAUUUAACUCAUGAGCUUUAAAGUUAAAAAACUCUUACAUAUUUUUUUUGAAAAAAAACAUAAAAUCGUGGACACCUUCUCUGACGCUGAUUAUUAAGAUUAUUUAAUACCUUAGUAAUAAAUUUUCAAAUAUUACGAUUUUUUAUAUAUACGCCUUUAGUUAAUGUAUAUUAUAGAGUAGAGCUCCUAUGCUUGGAUAUCUGUUUAAUUGCACAAAAUUGCAACCGCACUGCAGUUUCAACUGCAUUCAAAUCUAAAUAUGAUGUUGGUUUGGUAUACUUGAAUCCAAUUUUUGCAGUUGAAGCUGUAAAAAAGUUUUAACUAUAACAAUUGAAACUAUACCCAAAUUGUUCAUAAUUUGGACUAUAAUAGUUGGAGAAAAUAAAGCUUACCUAUUUAAUCACCUAAUCACUACAUUUUUCAAUUGAAUAUGUGUUUGUUUCAUUGACAGUGGAUAGAUGUAAAGUGGUUUCCGGUCGUAAAUAUCUAGUUUCAUUUUUUAAUGGGAAAACUUCAAAAACCUCCCCUGUGGUUUCCAACUUUCUCACUUUAGUACCCCGUGAUUUAAAGUGUAUCAAUUUGCCCUCCUGUGGUUUUGUUUUUAUUUUUUCUAUAGUUUUUUUCUUAAUAUUUCGUUAAAUUAUAUGCAAAAAAACAUCAGUUAUCCAUCUAGAUUUACCGAAUAUUUACUUUAGUACUCUUUAAUUUUUAAUUUUGUUGCUGAUUUGAGAAAAAAAAAUAAUAAAAUUGAUAAAAAAAAGAGAAAAACGAAACCACAGGGGGGCAAAUUGAUACACUUUAAACCACAGGGUACUAAAGUGAGAAAGCUGAAAACCACAGGGGGGGUUUUUGAAGUUAUCCCUUUUUUAAUUCACCGUAACUUUAUCUUUAGUAGAAAUCCAAACUCUCCAAAAUAUCAUAAUUAACUUCGGCCUAUCCCUGCAGAAAUAAAUUAUAUGAAAAAAUUAAAAUAUUAACUCAUCUCUCACACCUCACGCUUUUACACUAUUAACUUCAGGUUCACAGCUAUACAAACAAAUAUCAAAAGAGAAGGCAUUGUUCUCCUGAAUUUUACUCAAAAAUCUACUUCAAAUCAAACAAAAGACACAUUUAUAACUACUGUAUUUAUAACUACAUGCAUAUAUAAUUAUAAUAUAUUUGUAAUUACAUCUGACCAAACUGCUCAAAGGUACAAGUGCGGUUCAUAUAAUGUACAAAUAGACCGGGUGCGGGCAAUAAUUUCUGUAGCCACUGAUCUUGUUGGUGGAAGCCAACGCAGUAGUGCACACAUCAACUCUAAAAUACUCUUUAGCAUCUUGCAAGUUGGAAGAGUGUGGAUAUUUUCUAUUCAGAUCCGGAUAAUAGCGGAUACGGACACGGAUAAUUUUGGAUAAUAUCCAAUAAUUCGGAACCAUUCUCACCCCUAUUAAAAUGUGUAGAUACCUCCUCAACUUUUAUCAGUUUUGAAAUGAUCCUGUAAACAUUUUUAUUUGAUUUAUACUCUCUCUGCUUAGUAUCCUUUGAUUUAUCUCUAUGUAUUAGUAAUUUUAAAGAUUCCAUUAGAAACAUAGAAUCAAACGUCCAUAAUAAUGGCACGUAACUUUCUUUUUGACUAAAGUAAUUUUUGAUCUUGUGCAUCUACCGUAAGUGUUUAUUUUGAUUAUAAUAGAAUUUUCAAAAUAGUUAGAAACCGGAAAAAAUAGCCCAUAGGGUACUUAAAUCCAAAACCAAUCAAAAUUAUUCAUUACCCGCGUGACCUAAAACAAGAGACAACCCAAACUCUGAGACUCAACCUCAAAUCCGAACCAAAUAGGAAUGGAAACGGGGCGGAACCGGGGCAGAAGGGUCUCCCACCUUUCGCUCUAUUUCUUAUCGGAUCGGGAGAAUUCGGGACGGACAGAUCAACUUUAAUCAUAUUGUUGGUCCUCACCGCUCCAUUUGAGAUGGAUCAGAGAAGAAGCAGAUGUUUUGGUGAAUUUUUUGUAGAUCGGAAUGGAACGAGUCAAAAGAAAAAUAGUCUCCCGCCUCCCAUUUCAUUUAUUUGAUAGGUCAGGACAAAUUCGCGCCUCCCAUUUCAUUUAUUUGAUAGGUCAGGACAAAUUCGGAAUGAGUUAUAUUUCGGGUGGAAGCUCCACCAACCUAGAUUCAUUUGCAAUCUUAGACCCAAACCUCAAUUUCUGCAAGGAAUUGGGGUCGACCCAAUCCAAACCAAACCCAAACCCGAAUCCGAAUCCAAAUCCAAAUUCAAAUCCAAACCCGACCUACCAUUUUUCUCCUCCCAUUCCCCAAAACCUGCGAGAGCUCCCAACUCUCGCAUACCGCAUACGCCAUUGUUAGGGUUUUGUGUUGGAGAGGGAGAGAGAGAAAGAGAGAGAGAGAGGGGUUUUAGGGUUUGGGGAUGAGCGGGAGCGCGUUCAACGCGUUCAGGGCGCGGGCGCCGAUCGCGUGGAGUCCGCGACUGUACAUAACGCUGGUGCGGGGCCUCCCGGGGACGCGGCGCCUCCACCGCCGCACCCUCGAGGCCAUGCGCCUCCGCUGCUGCAACCGCACCGUCACCCACCGCACCACCCCCUCCCUCCUCGGCAUGCUCAACCAGGUCCCCUUCCUCCCCCUCCCCCUCCCCCUCCCUCUCCCUCUUCUUCGGAUUCCUCGUCGCAAUCGCUGCUGAACGAGCUAGGUAUCUCCGGGGCGAUUGUUGUAGGUGAAGAGAUUGGUGGUGGUGGAGACGGAGGCCAUGCACGUGGCGCGGAAGCAGGAGGAGGAGCAGCGCCGCGCGCUCCGGCCCCCGAUCGUCGUCGCUCACCGCCCCCCGCCGCCGUCCGCUUCCAAUGAGGCCGCGCAGUAGCGGUUGCAUCUUCCUCAUCUGUUUCCGCCAAUCAGAAUGAUAGGUGAUUUUGCGUAUCUUAUCUCCAAAUCAUGGAUAUUCAUGUGCAUUGUUGCUAAUUCUUGGUAGUUUGCUUUGAAUCAACUUUAUUUUGUGCAAGGAUUAGCGUAAUUCACAGCUUGUUUGGGUGUUCAUGGGAUUUUCAUGCACAAAACAUCAAUGUGCAAUCAGUGGUCAGCUAUUUGUGAGAUAUUUGUUAAAAUGCCCCAAAGAGGGAGCUCACGGCGUUUGCAACUGCGCUAGCGAAUUUGUAGAUGCCCAGUAGAAUUAGUAUUGUGGGUAUCAACAGCUUAGAGUUGAAAUUUGGUAAUCCAAACAUCGCUAGUUUUAGACUUUUAGUUGCUGAUUUCCUUAUCAAUUUGAUUUUCGCUAGGUGACGAUUUGAUCGCCCUGCUGCAGUGUAUUCUUCACGUGAUCGUCAUCGGGUGCGACUGCAGUAUGCGGAUACAUAAGGAAAGUAAAAUAAUAUUGUCAUAAGUGUAUCUAGUUGUAUAAAAAUAAAUGAUGGAACUAAAAAUAUAAAGAACUAUAGAUAGAAUUUGAUGUUCAAGUUUGUAAUGUACAUACAAGAUUACAAGCUUAACCAACGAAGAUCUACAUCAAGUGAAUGCCACAAUGUGCUUGCUCAUGUACUAAUUAUAUGACACCUAUCCCUUGGGCCGGCAAGGAACCACAUCCGCAUAUGCAGGGUCAUGGACCUUUUAGAAUGGUCUCAGGUCUACUCGAAUCUUAUGCAAGCUCAUUCGCAACCAUCUUAGACAUGAUCGGUUUCUCUUUAAUCAGAUCUUUGGGAGUUGUGUUUUUGUCACCUUUUGAUUCCAAUAUCUCGAUUACUAAAUCCUGUUGAAUUGAUGCGGACAGUCUGAAUCUUAAAUUUGAAGUACAAGUGACAAGAAAUCAUUAUGAAUGAGCUAGAGAAAUUUGUUUUUUUACCCUGCAAAAAUAGUGCUGGAUAAAUUUGGAUGUGACUCUAAUUCCAACAGGGAAUUUUCAAUUAUGUGCUAUUCACAAUACUUUGGAAAACUACGGAAUUUAUGCUUGAUUUUAUAAUUUUAACAGCUUGUCAAAAUCUCAUGUGCUCAUAUGUUCUCUUUUUUAAGUUUUCUAUAUCUAUUUUUGUUGUAGUGGAGGGUGCCAACAGAUCAACUUCUCUGUUAUUAUUUCCUGUUAGCUUGGAAAUUCAUUUGUUUUAAAAAACAAAGUAGGGGACAAAAGCUGCUACUAAAUUAAUUGUUUUUGGUUGACAAACAAACUUCAUGCAUGCAUAGAUUGUGAAUGAUCUGUCAUCCCAGGUGCACUCCAUCACAUAGAAUUCGAGUGCAAAAGGAUAAAAAAAUGAAAGUGUAACCGAAUGAGGCCCAAGUUUGUGAACUGCAAGUUUCUUACGGAUGCCCAUUUGAAAUUCAGUUUGCAUUCAUCUUCUUCUAAUGAAAUUAAUGUAGAGAUUUUAGAUCGGAUUGCACUAUCGUCGUUUUCUAUUUUAACUUGAGAUUCGCCCUUUUACAUUAUACAUCAGCUAGACAUGAGCUCGUCUUCAUUGUUCCAUUAAUCCUUUUACAAGACAGUGGAUCUAUAUCCAAGUCAUAUAAACUGCUAGGAAAUGAACUCAAUUCGUAUACUUAUGCUGCACGAUAAAUGCAGGUAUGUUAUAUUCUAUCAUGUGUCAACUUAUGUCCAACCUCUUGAAGGAGAACCUGAAAGUUAGAUUGACCCAUUGAAUUAUUCGCUCACUCUGACAUUGCAGAUACUGAAGAUAGUAGUAACUUAUUAAUAAUGCCCCAAUCUGUUAACAAAUUGCUGUAAUUUAUUAGUAGCUCUUAUUUCUUGGUGUUCGGAAGAAGCAAAGCAUCUGCCAUCGCUCUCCAUUUUUGACUUGCAACUACUGCUAUCACUAAGUUAAUGCCUCGAUGCCUAGUUUCUGCAUAAUAUGCUUCAUGGUAUUACAUUUCUACGAAUUCUUGUAUGUUGUUUCGAAACUUUGUUGAUUACACCAAAUUUUCAAUUAUGCACAAGCAUUCAAGGCAGAUAUAGAUAUAAGGGUGCGUUUGGUUCGCGCUAUCUUUUAAAGAUUCCUAGUAAUCCAAUGGGAAUAAAAAAAUAUGACGGUGUUUGGCUAAACGCACUAAGUAAUCUAGUUGGUAAUAUUGGAUUCACUUGGGAAUAAGAUUCAACCCAAAGUACUAAUCUCAUUCCCUUGAGGGAGGGUGGGUAUCCUCAUAUUAAUGGAUUGGGGUAAUCAUAAUAUGUCUAAUCUCUUUCUUUCUUCUUACCCGCCGGCUAGUUGAUAUUAUUUUUCUUUACACUCUAACCUUAUAUCUCUCUCUAAACUUAUUUUUCUCUCUUAAAUUUAACUUUUUUUUCUCUCUCUAAACUAAGCUUUCUCUCUCUCUCUCUCUCUCUUUCUAAAAUUUCAACUCUUUCACUCCCUCUAGUUUCGACUAUAUUUUUCUUUCUAUUUCUUUAAUUAUGCUUUCUCUCUCUAACUUAUACUCUCUCUCCUUUUUUUUAAAAAAAGAUGUUGAAACUUUUGAUAACAUUAUCUAAAAUUAAUUAAAUUAAUUAAUUAAUUAAUUGUAUAUUUUUUGUAAUAUUAAAUAAUAUGGCUAAUUAAUAUUAUCAUGCGAACCAAACGCAGGAAUUCCACAUUCUUAGUAAUAGGAUGAAUAGAAAUAAGAUUCUUGGAUAUCUUUUAUUCCUAGUAAUUUUUCAUAAUGCGAACCAAACGCACCCUAAAUGUCACUGCAUGUGUUCCUUCAUUACUAUUCUUAUGGAUCUUCUUCUUUAUGCAGGGCAUCCGAAGUCCUCUGCAUAUUGGUCUCGCCGCACAACUCAGUUCACGAUUUGCUGUGUAACAUUUCUAUCAGGAUAAAAUAUACAUGAAUUAUGAACAACUCCUUUCCGCUAAAUUCGUCUCAAUCUCACUGUGUUCUGUCAGCAUUUCUGCUGAAUGAUGUAACUUCGUCUUUUUGUGUUUUCUUUUCUUGAACUUGUUUCACUUAUUUAUGCGAUGCCGAUUUUCGGUAACAUUUUCUCGUUGGAAAUGUAAUUGCACUUCAAUCUUGCUUGAUCCUCGUAUGGCCCAGUUAUACGAUACUCGAGAUCUCGAGUUAAAAUUGUUGCCUUUUCUUUCAAGGCCUAUAAGGAUAACUCAUGAUUGUGCCGAUUCAAUCUUAGGCCCUACGAUUUAAGGGCUGUGGUAUGAGGUUGUGCCGAGUCUUUGUCUAACAUGGUGUAGAUACGUUACGUGGAAAAGGUAUAGAAUGCAGUAGUCAUAUUGUUGAUGUGGUGUUCCGAAUCAAUCAAAUUGUUCUUCUAGAGUUCACCCAUCUCAUCAUGGUUUUUAGAGAAUAUUUUUAUUAUACUUUUCUCUCUCAAAAAAAGAGAUACGAUUAGCUAGAUAUACGUAAUGUGUAGUUGCUAUAUAGCAGACUUCCUCCGUUGUAUGCCAUACUAUGCAUACUAUUAUUGGCAAAUAAAUAGUUUCCAAAAGAGCUCGAUAUUAUGUUUCGCUUGAUGUUGAGAAUUUCAAGUGCUCCAAAAGAAGUCAUAAUUCAUAAGCACCGAGUGUGAGAUAAAGAUGGUUGCAAGUGUAGAAGAGGACGCGACGAUGGUGAAAUUGGGUAGCCUUAAAAUAGAUUAAGGGUGCAUUAGGAUUACAGGCAAUCGUACCAGGAUUACUAUGUUUAGUUCAUCCGCUAUGUAAUCUAGUCAUUAAUAUCAUUAAUGUAGCAUUACAAAUCGAGCAGGAUUACAUUAAAAAUAUUAACGAGAAUGAGAUUAUCUUGUAUUACUGAAAGCUGGUAAUGUAAAAUAACAAUUUUACCCCUCUAACUCCCAAAACCCUUUCAUACGUCAUUUAAAAAAAUUUAAUUUAAAAUUUUGAAUUGUCAACUUUUAAAUUUUAAAUUUUUAAUUUAAAUUUUUAAUUUUUAAACUUCAAAUUUAAAUUUUACAUUUUAAAUUUUAGAAUUUAAAUUUUAGAUUUUAAAUUUUAAAUUUUAAAUUUUAAAUUUUAAAUUUUAAAUUUUAAAUUUUAUUUUUAAAUUUUUAAGUNUAUUUUAAUUUUUGAAUUUUAAAUUUAGAUUUUUAAUUUUUAAUUUUUAAUUUUAUAUUUAUAUUUUGAAUUUUAAAUUUAUAAAUUUCAUAUUUAUAUUUUAAAUUAAAAUAUUAAAUUUAUAUUUUUGUUCAAAUUUAAAAUUUAAAAUUUAAAAAAUUAAAUUAUUCAAAAUAAAAUUUAGUAAAAAAAUAUUAUUUGUAAAUAGUAAAAAAAAUGUUUACAAAAUAUCGUUAAGGGCAAUUUUGGAAUAAACUAUAUUUUAUUUUCUAGAUUACUCAAUUUUAUAGACAGAACUAAACAUAUUAAUACUAUAAACACUGGAAUCCAAUAUUAUAUUACUGUAUUAAACCAAACGCACUAAUACAGCAUAACUAGUAAUCUCUUUUAAAAAUCCAAGAUAUCUGAAUAUAUCGAAAUACUCUGUAAUAUUAUAUAACUUAAACCAAACACGUCCGUAAUGUUAGAGACUAUCAGUGCAAAUAAUUUGGGUAGAGGCAUGUUGAUAAAAGAAAUAAAAAUAAAAAUUUACAGAACUUAUUUGAACCAUAAAUUAUUUUAGGCUUAGUUUGUUACUGAGGCCUAUCUAACGCUAUUAGAUAAAAUAGAGUUGAAGAAAAAGCAUAUAACUAUAUGCUAGAAGCGUUCUCCGGUGGAACCGCAGAAAAUAUAUCGUAACCGACUCAUCGCGAUAUGCGGAACGUAAUAUUACAUACGGAAAUAAACAAGGUAUUUUUCUAACGUACUUUCUCACCGCACGUAACGCAAUUCCCCCGCAAUUCCAAAUGAAGCCUUAAUAGUUACUCCCACUUUUAAAAUUUUAAUUUUACUAACAAGCUUUAAAAAUUUUUGAAUCUAGGUCAGUCAAAGUUGUUGAUUGGCUCAUAAUCGAAGGACUUAUUUUUUAAAAAAGUGAGGAGCCCAUGGCUCCCAUAUAAAUUUUAAGAAAAAUUUCAAAUACAACCCUGUGGGUUCGCACUGUCUCACUUUGUUUGUUACCUUUUGUAUCCGUGGUUUUAUUUUUUUUUUUUUAUUAUCUCUUUUAUUAUCUAUUUUGUUAAAUUAGUGACAAAGUGAAUAUUUGAUAAAUCUAAGUGGGAUAUUUGAAAUUUUUUUGUAUAUAAUUAAACGAAAUAUUAAUAGAGGGGCUGAUGAAAAAAAAAAUAAAAAUUACAUGAUAUUAGAUUGAUAUGUUUUAUAUGAUAGAAUACUAAAGUGAAAAAAUAGGAAACCAUAAAAUUGGUUUUAUGUAUAAAGAAUAAAGAAUUCACGUGAAGGUUGGGGAGGAAUGGAACGGUGGAGGAAUCAACCCGUGCCAGAAUUGAUCCGGGUCAGACCAUCUAUCCACCAACCCGUGCCAGAAUUGAUCCGGGUCAGACCAUCUCGUUAGGCCCAUCUCCGGAGGAAUCCGAAUCCGAUACUGGCAACCGGAACUUCUCAUAAAGCGAUCACGACAUUUAUUUAUUAAUUAAUACACCCAUAAAAAUUCCAUACGAAGAAAAGGCCACGUGGUUCGACCACCGUUGGGUUUCUGUAGAGAGUUUAAUGCGAGCAAAACAACAACUUCGCCUUCAUCGGCGCUCCGCGGGGAUGCGCGAUCCAAUCGCACGAUAACGACAAACAAGUGCGGCAGCAAAAAGCAUAAAAAGGGCGACGAGGGGGCUCGGGGCCAUGGCCGCUUCCCGCUUCAAGGUGCUCGGGGCGCUCGCGAUCGCCGCCUCGGGCGGCGCGUCGUGGGCGGCGGCGGAGGCGAGCGGCGGCGGCGGCGGCGGCGGGGGAGGCGGAGGAGACGGAGGUUUGAAGGAGGCGAGGCGGCGGAUCGCCGAUCCGGCGGCGGCGGUGCCGGCGCGAGGGCCGCAGGCGGCGGCGCUGGAGGGGGCGAGCGCGGCGAGCCCCCUCGACGUGCUCGUCGUCGGCGGCGGCGCCACCGGGUGCGGCGUCGCCCUCGACGCCGCCACCCGCGGCCUCCGCGUGGGGCUCGUCGAGCGGGAGGAUUUCUCCUCGGGCACCUCGUCCAGGUCCACCAAGUUGAUCCAUGGCGGUGAGGGCUCCAAACUCUCACUCUCACUCUCUCUGCCUCCCCUCAUCCACUCCAUUUUUUAGAUUAUUUUUGGAGGCUACUUUGUAUCUUUUCCCUCGGAAUCAUCUCUCCUGUGUUCUACACAUAGUGUUUGUUUUAGUUGUACACUACGUAAUUGUUACGGUUAAUUACACUUUUGGUCCUCAAAUUAUUAAGGCGAGUGAUGAUUUCGUCCUUAGAUUUUAAUUUUUUGCAAUUUCUACCUCAAAUUUAAACUUUCUAAAUUGACCUAAUUUAGCUGACUAACUACUGAUAGCAGGCUGAAGGGGAAAUGAUGUGACCUUUUAAUUAUUAUUGCAUUAUCAAUCAUAACAAUGCCACAUCACUUUUAUAUUAGCUACGCGUUAGUAUUUAAUCAAUUAAAUUAGAUUGCGGAAGUAAAUCACAACUGCUUAGAAAAUUUGAAUUAAAAAUUAGAACUUACUAAAAUUUAACUAUCAAAGUGUCACUUGUAGCUUGAAAAGACCAAAAGUGUAAUUUAGCCUAGUUGUUAGAAUUAGUGCUUGAGAUACUUUGUUGUGCUUGAAAAAUAGCUUGCUUGCUGCUAAAUAAUGUGAAACAACUUUUUUUUGUAAAGAUAACUUAUCAGAGAAACAGUAUUUUUGUAUUUUAUAUUCAACCAUUCCUGUUAUGUCUGGGCUUGAGACUUUUUAAUAGGCUUAAGGCGCGGACUUGAAUUAAAUUGGAGAAAAUUUAAGAGCAUGGUGGGAGUUGAACUCAACAUGUUUUGCUCUGAUAUCAUGUUAAAUUGUGUAAAAUAACCGUUAUGUUUCAAAAGCGUUAGCUAGAAUUUGAACUGAUGACCUCUUGCUUUGAUACCGUGUUAAAUAGCGUGAAGCAACCAUUAUUCUCCAAAAGCUUAAGUUAUUAAAGAACAAUGUUUUUAGUAUUUGUAUCCAACACUUGCAUUUGAUCACACCCUGAGAAUGCACCUCUUUCUGCAGUUUGCAUCACUCAUCUUCAAUUCGGAAUCAAAAUUCUUUUGAAGGUAAUGCCAUAUGUGAUUGAAUUAGUAGUAAUAACUUGGAUGUCUAGUUGCCCACCCAAUGUUGCAGUUGAUCCAAACUGCAUACUCAUUGACUAGUAUUACUGCUCUGGAUACCUAGUUUGCAUUUUAUUAGUAUGUCGCUACAGUCAUAAUGCUUUUUGAAUAGGCUACUUUUAAUUCUCUUGCAUUUGUAUGUUCAGGUGUUCGGUACUUGGAGAAGGCAGUGUUUAAUCUUGAUUAUGGGCAGUUGAAACUUGUUUUUCAUGCACUUAGGGAACGCAAACAGGUUAUCGACAAUGCUCCACACUUAUGCCAUGCUUUACCAUGUAUGACACCUUGCUUUGACUGGUUUGAGGCAGUAUACUAUUGGAUGGGUUUAAAGUUAUAUGAUCUCGUUGCUGGUCGAAGGAUGCUACAUUUGUCAAGAUAUUAUUCUGCAAAUGAGUCAAUUGAACUUUUUCCUACCCUGGCCAGAAACGGUCAUAACAAAAGCCUUAAGGGGACGGUGGUUUAUUAUGAUGGACAAAUGAAUGACUCUCGGCUGAAUGUUGGAUUGGCUUGUACUGCUGCAUUAGUAGGUGCAGCUGUACUUAAUCAUGCAGAAGUGAUAUCUUUUAUUAAGGACGAGUUUGGUGAGCGGAUUAUUGGCGCUCGCAUCCGUGAUACACUAUCAGGUAGAAGAAAGCAGGUCUUUCCUCCUCUUCCUGGAAGCUUAGUAUUUACAUGAUAUCAGUUCAUAUGCAGCAUAAAUUGGUCAUAUAUCGAAUGCUGUUCUGUCUUUGCAAAUAAUUAUUUCCUGGAGAAUACCCUGUGUAGAACUUAUCUAGCUCCAUGUAGGCAGAGAUGAUGCAAAUUUAGACUAAAGCUCUCUACAAGAAUGAUCAACAGUUACUAGUACCGGCAAUCAACACUCCUACUGUUUGCUUCUUGUUAACAAACUCUUAGUUGUUGAAUAUAAAAUGGCCAGAACGAAAAUUCAACUUGAAUUGCUGUCCACGUUCUUUCUGUAAUUACCAUUUUUUUGGCUUCUUGAUGCAUAGCAAGAUGUUUACAUUCUUUUCUGGAUUCUAUAUGGUUUUUUUUAUGUAGAUCCAAUUAAAAGAAGUAGAAUCAUUGAUUUUGAAUGGUUAAUUAUGAUUUUGAGCCAUUCAUUCUUUUUAAAUGGUUUGCAUAUAAGUAUGUUAUAAAACUAACAUAUAUACUUACUUUUAGCUAAUUGGGCCAAUUGAUUUUUAUUUGUCAUGCAUCUUAAGAUUCUAAACACUUGUCAAUGGACAUCAGGUAAAGAGUUUGAUACAUUUGCAAAAGUUGUUGUCAAUGCGGCUGGACCAUUUUGUGAUUCAGUAAGGAAAAUGGCUAACAAGGAUGCAAAACCGAUGAUCUCUCCAAGUAGUGGUGUUCAUAUAGUUCUUCCCGACUACUAUUCUCCUGAAGGGAUGGGUCUGAUUGUUCCAAAAACUAAGGAUGGCCGUGUUGUGUUCAUGUUGCCCUGGUUGGGAAGGACAGUGGCAGGGACAACUGAUUCUAACACCGCAAUAACCAUGUUCCCAGAGCCACAUGAAGAUGAAAUACAAUUCAUCCUGGAUGCCAUAUGUGAUUACCUUAAUGUUCAGGUUUGAACUUAGUUCCUUUGUUUUUCCCUUAUUUCUUCACCACUCUCUUCCUCAUGUUUACCUUUUGUUUGUGUAUUUUGUUUUUUUAUGUAAUGAAAUGUAAUUGGCUCCCUGUUUUUGAGUUGCCUUCUCUAUCUACCGUGAUGAUCUAUCUUGUCCCCUGUUCUUGAGUUGCCUUCUCUAUCUAACAUCAUGAUCUACUUGUCAAUUUAUAGUUAAUUUCCAGUGUAGGCUAGCCUACUUAGCCCAAAAACCUUGCCAUUAUGCGGAAAGCCCAAAAACCUUGCCAUUAUGAGGAAACAAAGUUUAGGUAGUACUGUAGUAGUUGAAUGAAAUAAGCUGUCAUAUUUACUCAUCAACAUACAACUACAAGUGUUGUUUCCAGAAGGUCUGAGAAGCAUGCCAUGCAUCGAUCAAUCUCAGAAGUCCUAGGAUGUUUUUAACGCAUUGGUUGUGUUCACAGUAUCGGCUUGCAAUAUUAUCAGAAACUUGUAGAAUUAUAUAUGCUGUGCAGUAGUAGAUGCAAUCUAAUUUAGGUAUAUGCUGCAUAAUGCAUACUAUGCUUUAAUAUUAUAUUAUCAAAUUUUGUGUUGCUUGCAGAGUAUACUAUCUUAUAAGAAAGGAAUUUCCAGAUUAUCAAUAGAACAACAGUCCAUAAUGAUAUAUUGAUGUUGAAAAAAACGGUGAGUGAUCUUUGUGCAUUGUUUUCGGAUGGAACUCUGUAGUUGAAAUAUGUAGACAAGUAAAUUUAAUUCGUUCAUCAUACUAUGAAGCUCUAUACUUUAUUUAGAUUAUCCUUAGCCUUUUUAACAUGUAACCAACUUUGGAUUUGAACUUAUCCCGGAUAACCAGCUAAAACAAUCUUACAUAGAGAUUUUCUAAAUAAUAAAAAUCUCAAAAUAAAUGUAAAUAAAACCAAAUAAGAGGAUAGCUAAAAAUCCUCAUUUAACUAACUAAAAGAGACGAUUAACUAAUCUUAUUACAAUGACGAUGAAGUCAAUCGGUUUAAAUCGAUCAACCUAAUUGGGUCAGGCCAGUUCUACAUCACUUAGUCCUUAGGGAGUGCUAUUAUGGAUUAACACUACUGCUGAUGCUCAAGACCCAAAAUAGCUCUGUCCUUCUAAAUUUAGAUUUGUUUGGCUGGUUAAAGAAAGGAAGCUUGUGGUCUUUUCCUAUUGUUGGGAUAUUAUUUAAUUGUUUACUAUUAUUAAUUGGUUGAUGUUUGCUUGUGACGUCCAUCGAUCCUUUGUUACUCUAUUUCCAUCCCUAGGACUACUUUUAGAGGCCUUCACAAUGCUUACAUCGAGGCACUCUACCCGUUGAGUGGUAGUAUUUUUCUCAUAAGCGAACCUCUCUUUACCUGAUUUUGUUUUGAUAAAGAAGUAGGCAAUUGUGUCGAACAUGUUGAUAUGAGUUUCAACAGCUGGAUUAUAUCUGUUGAACCUUCUCAGUAUUGAAUUGUGCACUAGCCAGCCUUGUACUGGGGCUGAAAUACGCGAUUGAUUUCAGCAUUAAUCUUGUAGGAGCCAAUUCUUUACCUCCCUAUUGUGAAACUUUUAGUUCGGCAUUCCUUCAGACGUCUGUUUAUUAAAGAUUCUCAUAGAAGGGCUUUAGUUUUGUUGGUUUGUAACAUUCUGGGAGUACUCUAUUCCUCUUCCAGAUGGCUAGACUGGCUUUGUGCCGCUUGAGUCAGAAAGGAAGAGAUUUGGUUGAAUAGAGGUAACAUUCUUGGAAUACUUUACAUUCCUCUUCCAGAUGGCAAGGCUGGCUUUGUGCUGCUUGGGUCAGUAGGGGUUUCUUCUGAGGAGGAGAGAUUAGGUAGGAGGCAGGACUAGGUUAGUUAUACUUGUCAGUCUUAUUGGGAGUGAUGGAGAUAUCCAUGAGCUCUGACUCAUAAUCAUCUUCCAUUACCAUAUGGAGAGGGAUUUGUCACCCUUACCCAAUGGGAAUGAGGAUUUUGUGGGAACAUGAAAUUCCCAACUUUCAAGAAUCCUAUUAUGGGAUGCACAUGAUAAUAUUGUUGGAUUCCAGUAAUAAAUGGUAAUUUAAAAAGAUUAUACCAAAUGCCUCCUAACGGUGAUAGUGCAUCCCCAUGAUGUCGCAUGUAAGAGGUUCUUUGAGAGAAGAGAAGCAAUUGCUAGACUUCGUAGAAGAUGUUGGGGAUGUAUUUCUCUUUUUUUGGGCCACACAAUAAAUCAGAAGGUCAAUAGCAUAUCAAAUAAAAUCUAUAGAUACAUUAAAGUGCUUAUUAACGAUAUAAUGUGUCAAUGAUAUGCUGAUUCUUGGAUGUCUGUUGGUCAGGUGAGAUUAUUUUAUUUGAGUUUCUUAUGAGUUGGUCUAAUUUCUUCCAUCACAGUUAUGGGUUAAAUUACUUAUUAACGAAUAACAAUGUAAUGUGUCAAUGAUAUGCUGAUUUUUGGAUGUUCGUUUUGGAAGGUGAGAUUGUUUUAUUCGAGUACCUUAUGAGCUGGUCUAAUUUCUUCCAUCAGCUUAUAGCCUUUUGCCUAUUUCUGUUGAAGUGGUGAACAUCUACAUAAAUGGACAUUUAGCAGCACUAGUUCCAGAACUGCUUUUUCCAAUCAAGAUACUAUUUAGGGCACAUGUAUUAUGUCUAAUGCAAUUAUGUCUAACGCAAUCCAUUAUUUUUCUGUCACUUUUUGUGUAUUUGAAUAUUUGUUUUACAGAUUUUACAUAACAAUGACAUAAUAAUAGUUCAUCUCCCGUGUUGUUUCAUGUUUCUCCCUCUUUGUUGUAGUAUAUGUUCCAUACGUGAAUAUGAGUUACUUGUCUGGCUGAUGGUAAAAGACGGUGUGCCAUGAUGUGCAUUGUAAUUUUGAUUUGUUCUGGUGGAUAUCUCAGGUAAGGCGAUCAGAUGUUCUUUCUGCCUGGAGUGGUAUACGUCCAUUGGCUAUGGACCCAUCGGCAAAGAACACCGAGAGUAUUUCUAGAGAUCAUGUUGUAUCUGAAGAAUAUCCUGGUUUAAUCACAAUUACUGGUGGAAAAUGGACCACUUAUAGAAGGUAAAAAUCUUAAUUAGGGUCUCUUUCAUUUUUUUUUAUUUUAAGUGAUUAUCAUUUUUAGUUGGAACUCUUUCAAAAUCUUAAUUAGGUGGCUCACCUUAUGAUUACAAUAUCAGCAUAAAUUUUGAAGUAUGAUGUGAAUCAUCAUGUGUCAUCCUAGUCUAAAAGUUUGUUGUUGCCAUUUUGCAGAUCUUUAUCUUCCUUUUCCAAAAUAUGUAAUGCGUGUUGAUUUGUGGUUAUCUUAGUGUUCAGUUUCAUUUUAUUAUGACGGGUCAUUUAAAUGCCGACAUUUUCACAUUCCUGAUGAAUCAAUAUUCUAUACAGCAUGGCAGAAGAUGCGGUUGAUGCAGCUAUCAAAUCAGGGAAGUUGAAGCCUGCUAAUGGCUGUGUGACUGAUCGCCUGCGCAUUGUCGGUGGAUAUGGAUGGGAGCCUUCUUCAUUUACCAUCCUUGCUCAGCAUUAUGUUCGCAUGAAGAAGACACAUGGUGGAAAAGUUAUUCCUGGUGUAAUGGACAGUGCUGUUUCCAAGCAUUUGUCUCAUGCAUAUGGGAUUUUGGCUGAACGAGUAGCUACUAUUGCUCAGGUUGGGUUUCUUUGGACCUCAUUUGCACAUAUUCUAAUAAAAGAAGAACAUCCUACAUGUUUUCUUUUGCCAUGGCUCUUUUUUAUUCAUAUGAGAGUUGACAUAAUUUUCUGUUCAUGCCCAGUGCACUGAUUGGUUGUUGCAUUGAAAAGCAUGCCGAGUUAGCUAAGUUGUAGGUGAUGUACAAGUUCAAUACACCUGUUUGUUUCAUAAAAAACUCUUUAAGUGAGUUUAUUGUGAGAACUGAAAUGUGCAAAUUUGCUACCUUUCAAGUUUCAACCUCUUGUAAAGAUUUUGUAAGGAAUGACGAGAAGAGGCUCUUGCAGGUAACAAAAGAUGCUGAAUCAAAACCAAGGCUGAUUAUAUUGGUUUCUUUAGAUGCUGGGUGCUCUUUGCAGCUGCAUGCACCGUAACCACAAUCCCUUUAGGAUGCAUUGAUGUUGUAGAGAUGUCUUUAAAGAACGUAUUGAGGUUUAGGCAUGAACUUGCGGAAGUCAGAAUUCUCGAGUCUAACUGAAAGACGGAACUAAGUAGAAUUCCCCAGCCUAACUGAAUGCUGAGGGAUUUGAUGGAAAGCUGCUAUCUGGCGGUUUGUGAACUUGAUUGGUCAGACCAAUCAUUGUUCUACCAGAAGAAUGUGUGGAAGUAAAUGAAAGUUAAAUAGUUUUGUCUUAAGUUGACAGCUCAUGGUCUAUUAUGGGACAAAAUAUCUACUAAUUUAACAUGGGUAGUAACUUAUGUAAAAGAUUUAUGAUUUAUUCAAGGUUUGAUGACUGCACUGGGAUCUAGAGGAUUAUAAUAGCUUUCGCCGAAUGAUUUGAAUGAAGAUGAAGUAUUUCUAGGCUACGGCCUAGUAACUGGUAUAGUAUGAUUUCCAUCACGUGAUAAAACUUAUGUGCGUUACCCUUUAGCGCAUAUCCUAGACUAAAAUCCAAGUUUUCUUUUUUUGCUUUACUAUUUAUGGUUACUAGUCAGUAUCACUGAAGAAUCUACAACUUUGUUAAACAUUGUGAACACCUUUGCUUGCUUACGAGUACAUUACUGGGAUAACACUAAAUAUUAUGCUAUUCUCUUUGAUCUAUUAGCAUUUCAAAUUCUCUUUAUCGAGUUUGGCGUCACUCCCAGUAGUGCUAGAUAAUUAGCUUCAUUUCCGUGCAUAAUUUGCUUACAUUUCUGUUUUGUAGAAUGAAAAUCUAGGAAAGCGACUUGCUCAUGGAUACCCGUUUCUGGAAGCCGAGGUUGCAUACUGUGCUCGUAAUGAGUAUUGCGAAUCUGCUGUGGACUUCAUUGCUCGGAGGUCUCGUCUUGCUUUUCUUGACACUGAUGCGGCGGGGCGAGCAUUGCCCCGCGUUAUUCAGAUUUUAGCUGCUGAACACAAAUGGGAUAAGGCCAGGCAGAAGCAAGAAUUGCAGAAAGCUAAAGAGUUCUUGGAAACAUUCAAGUCCUCCAAAAAUGCACAAUUCCGGGAUGGAAAACAUAUUGGUAAGCAUUAUCUCCAGAUCUAAAUUUUGGAAUUUGGAUCAUAUGGAAACAAUUGCCCAACCAUUGAAAAUUUUAAUUUUACCAUCGAACAUUUUGAUCAUUCUUAUUUGAAUCAUUUGAUGGCUCUGCGAAAUUGUUGCCUGCACUCAAUGCACUCUGACAUCUAUCCACCCUCCAUCCUAUAUAAAUAGUUCAAUCUCUACCUGACAAUAAGUUAAGAGUUUAUCUACGUAAAAUUGGAUGAUCAAACUAAAAGCUUGAUGAACAAUGGUGGGUGUGCGGAUGCAUUGGGUGCAAGCAAUUAUUUCUCAAGAUGCAAAUCGAACAAAUUAAAACAGAAGUCAGUGAAAUCAGAACUAUCGGAGGGUGGGUAGUCGUUACCAAAUGACCCAAAGUUCAAGUUAAUUCAGCAGGCUCUUACCUUCUUGUUUUUCUUUUAGGGUAAAAUGUAUAGAUAGAGACUCUGUGAACUUCAUCUCUUUUGCAAAUAGACCUUAACUAAAGUUAUUAAUUAUACAAUCAUUUUGGUCGUAUAUAAUGCAUAUAGUUUUGGAAAGCUUUUAACUUCAGGCCACUGAUUUGCAAAACAGCGGAAGUUCAAGUGGUCUCUAUACAUUUUACCCUCUCUUUUAUGUUGUUUGGAUCUUGCUUAUAUUUUUCAUUUUAUUUUGUAGGGAUUUUGAGUUAAAUAAUUUUUGAGGGACAACUCAAUAUACAUUCCCCUAAUAUAAAUUCGAUCUAACAAAAAAAAGUGGUAUAUGAGUAAUUAAGCUCCUUUUGAUUCUGGGGACACCACUGCUUCCUACACUUUUUCUUAUGUUACCUGCUUUACUUAAAGGCAGGGUGCAGCUGAGCAUCUGUGAGAACCUCUUUUGUAGCUUCCAAAUUUCAUAUCCAAAUAAAACAUUUAUUUAUAUGUCAGUUAAGCACAUAAACCACUCGGGGUACAGUGAUUCAUAGUUACAUUUUUGCUCCUCUUUUUUUUUUAUUUUGUGUUUAGCCUCCUCUUAUUAUUAUUAUUAUUAUUAUUUGUAAAUAAUAAAUUUAUAUUUGCAAGAAUGACUCUUUCAUUGUUACGCAAGCGUCAUAGCGGCAAGUUGAACAUGGUAAUUUAUUUAUCGUAUUUAAACACGGUAAAUUGAUUUGCUAUAUUCUCUUUAACUUGGUCUAUGUGCUGCUAAGGUAAAAAGAAUAUGGUACAGCGCGCGCUGCUAAGACAAAGAAAAUAUGGUAAUUUUUUUAUUUUGUUCGCUUGAAAUUUCAACAUGGUUUUUGCGUGGCGAGAAAAAAGUCAUUUUUAUAAAUAUAAAUUUGCUGGGAUUAUUUAUAAAAAAAAAAAAAGUUUAAGAGGGGCUGCAUGUAAAAAAGCCCUCUUUCAUACAUAUAAAUAAAUCGAAACACUCAUUAAUCUACGACUUUAAACCCCUAGAACGCAAUUGUUAGGGCCCGUAUAACGCAAUUGUUGUCUAUUUGGUUGGAUAUAAUUGUAAAUAUGGGAUAGUUAGAGAAAAAUACAGUUGAAAAUAUAGCAAUUAUAAUUAUAUGUAUCUUAUUAGAUUGGAUUUAGCAGAAAAUUCUAUAAUUAUGAAUAAUAUAUUUAGCUGCACUUUGCUCGAAAUUGUACUUAUAAAUUUUAUCAUUUUAAAUAUAGGAUAGUGAGAUUACUCCUCAAGUAGAAGAAAAAUUAUUUUUUAUUUAAAAGAUAAUUUGGGAGGUGAGUUUAUUUUUUAUUCUAAGUUCUUCUCUCUCCACUUGUUAAAAUUGAAACUACAGCUAAAUUAGGCGUAUUUUCAACUGCACAGUGAAGCCAUUUUAUGCAGUUCUAGCCGUUAGAAUUCAAAUGCAUCAAAUGAAAAAAAAAACGUAUUUUAUUUAAGAUUUCAUUUUUUUUAACUACUGCCGAAUAAAACUACGGUUAAUUUGGAUAUAGUUUGUUCUACCGUAGGUAAGGGUGUGUUUGGUUCCAUGUAAAAUUAUGAAAAAAAAAAAUUCGGUGAAAAAUUUUUUUUUUAGUGGAGAACAAAUUUUACGUUCUUUAGUGUUUGGCUUGGGAAAAAAAGAAAAUAAAAAGUUUUUCAUUACGAUUGUUUGGUUGAGAAAAAAAAAAAAGAAAAACUAUUUAAUAUAUUUUUAUUAUAUAUAUUAUUAAUAUAUAACAAUUAACUACACUAUAUAUAUUUAUUAUUAUAAUUUAUAAUUAUAGAUUAAAAUUAUAAUAAACAUAUUACAUAAUAUAUAUAUAUAAGUGUUAUAUAUCUUGGGAUAUUAAUAAAUAAUUACAAAUUUAUAAAUAAAAUAUUAUAUAAUAAUAUCUCUAUAUAUAAAUAAAAUACCAUAUAUAUAUAUAUAGCGUAAAUCCGCUGCGAUGAGCUGCAUUUUUUCCUCCUCUUUUUCGUUUCCGUCGCUCUUGCGAGAAAAACGAAAGGGAGAACUUUCCUCCAAAUCUGUAAAAUUGUUUUUUACGGAAAAUUUUUGUACGUCGAACCAAAUGAACCGUAAACCAUUUUUCUACCAAAAAGUUUUCUUUUCACCUACUUUUACAUCAAACCAAACGCACCCUAAGCCACGUCUUGCAGCUCCAAUUUCAAAAUGAUAAUGCAGUAAUUUGAUCAAUGGAAUCGGCUUCGCAUGUAGUUAGAUCUGUAAUACAGUAGCAACUACGUGCAACCAGACACAGCCUCCAUUCACUAUCCCUCGGACAUUUCUCAAUGAUUCAGAUGCUCCAAUAUUACUUUCUGCUCAUAGUCAAGAGAGGUUUUCAGAGGACAAGACUGCAUGCAGAACUUUCAAUUAUGACGGCCGUCGUAUCUUCUAAAUAGGACGGAAGCUAGAAUGCGAUUUCGUAUGCAGAAAUUUUUUGUAUACAAAAUAAUAUUGCAUAGCACAUUUUAGGAGAGACGCAUGUGGACGCCUCACCUCCAAUAACACAUUUAUUCUUAGAGUGCUGCUACAGGUAUUCCAGAAGAUACUCUACAAGAUUGUUGAUGACAUAGCGUUAUUAUUAUUAUUAUUACACUCUAAAUGUUAAUUACUAAUUAAACACCAACAUCAUUAUCUUAAAUUUUAAAUCCUAACUCCUAAAAUCCUAAUCACUCCAUAUGCGGCGGUCAAAAAUGUUCCGUAUGUUAUAACUACUAAAUAUGCUCUUUUUUUUAAAACAGGUUACAUUGAAACUGAUCAUAUUUGAUGAAUGAGCAAAAUUUGUAUGCCGCUUAUAAAGUCUGCCUUAUCCCAAAUCUCAUGCUGUCAGAUUUGUUGGUGUGAAAAAAAAAAAAAAAAAAAAAAAAAAAAAAAAAAGGAGAAAAGGGCAGCCGCCCAACGAUUUUGUUCCCCAGGUGGUAAUCCUCUCAACAAAAACUAAAUAACAACUUAUAAAAUUUAUCGAGUGGGCUGGUAUGCUUCUGGAAGUACGGAGCCCUCCAUUUUUUAAGUUGUUUUCGAUGUUCGGACUUUCGAAUCGACGAUCGGCUCCGUUAGAGUUGAUCCAGAGUAUUUGAAGUACCUAGAAAAUAAAUUUUGCGAUUUUUCGAUAUCAUUUGCUUAGUGAUCGAAGUGGCUCAAAAUCAAUAAUUUUAAAGGCCGUAAUGAGCCGUUUGCAAGUUUAACGGUGGAAAAAUAUCCAAAUCACACGAAAUUUUGAUAGAAAAUUCUUUAUACCGUAUAAAACAAGAUCAAUAGCUUUGAUCUAAAAUUUUAAUGUCAUAUCAUCAUAUUUUGUAAGAUUUUUAUUUUCAGCCGUUGAUUUUGAGCCACUUCGAUCACUAGGCAAAUGAUAUCGAAAAAUCGCAAAAUUUAUUUUCUAGAUACUUCAAAUACUCUAGAUCAAGUCUAACGGAGCCGAUCGUCGAUUCGAAAGUCCGAACAUCGAAAACAAUUUGGAAGCACGGAGCGCUCUGUACUUCCAGAAGCAUUCCAGACGCACUCAAAUUUAUCUAAACUAUAAAUAAUUUUGAACUGACUAUAUAAUCAUUCAAAUUUUUAAUUUUAUUAUCUAAUCUUUCAAUUUAUUUAAUUUAAAUCGGUCAAAAAUAUUGUGGUUUUAAAAUUUAAAUUAAUUACUUACUUUGGUGAAUUUACAGUUGUGCGAAUUGCACGAGUAUGCUAACUAAAUAUGUAAAGAAAAACAACGCAUUCAGAUUAAUUUUGAAAUCAAAGUUUUGUUAACUAGCUCAAGUCAAGUAAAUUGAAAGGUUGGGUAACCGAUCCAAACUGGUCUAUAGUUGAAGUAAGUUAUGUACGUUUUUACCCAGAAACUAUUACUUGCGUCUAAGGAUAAGCAGUGUUCGGGUAAACCCAAAUUGCCAAACCUAACUGAUCUAGUUCGAUAAAUAAGACUGGUUUAUCGGUUUAAACGGUUCGGUUUGAUCUAUCAAAAUUUCACGUGAUUUGGAUAUUUCUACACCGUUAAACUUGCAAACGGCUCACUACGGUCAUUGAAAUUUGUUGAUUUUUAGCCCAUUCGAUCACUAGGCAAAUGAUAUCGAAAAAUAAUAAAAUUUAUUUUCUAGGUACUCCAAAUACUCUAAAUCAAGUUUAACGGAGUCGAUCGACGAUUCGAAAGUCGCAACAUUGAAAACGAACUGGAAGCAUGGAAGGCUCCGUGCUUCCGAUAGCAUAGUAGCCUCACUCUCUCUCUCUCUAUAUAUAUAUAUAUUAACUUUUAAAAUAUUUUAAAAUGUAAAAUAAAAUUUUCCAUGGAGUCUAACAAAAUUUUUUACUAUUAUUUUGUGUUAGUUUUUUGAGUAUAAAUUAAAUUUGAUUAUACAUGGUUUGAAUUCUUUAAAUCAAACAAAUCUAAAUUGUUAGCUAUAUUAUAAUCCUUAAAGCCCAAUUUAGAAAGGCCGAAACCGAUCAAACUGACCAAAGCGAACAAAAAAAAAAAAUUCGAUUCGAUUGGUUUUCGGUUUGAUCCAAAAAAAAAGUUAUAAAGCCGAAAAAUUCAGUUCGGGUUAACAUUCAACUAAAAACUGACUAGCUACGUCUUAUACACCACACUCCUAAAAAUGUAAAAUAAUGAUAAUAGUUUAAGAAUUAUAUAGUUUGAUGUGCUUUUUUUUAUAUUUUAAAACUGUAUAUAUUAAAUCAAAUUUUACAACUAUUUUAAACUUGUUUAAGUAUUGUUGUUGAUCAUGUUUAUCAGAUUAAUUUUAAUUUUAAAGAUACUGUAGAACGCAGCGGAAGUAUUCGUUCGUACCUUUUUGCGGAAGCGAUUCGCGCAACAACGCGAUGAGCCUGGAUCGUUUAGAUUGAUUCACGUGUCCUCGGAUCGUCCUUGAAUAUCUUCUCACGCUCCAAACUCGCGGUGGAUCGAACUACAAACGAGCGCGAUCACAAAUCCACCGUACAAGUCCCUCUAGAAUAAUAGGUCAAUGGAGGAUGUGGUUUCUCUCUAUUAUUUUCUUAUUCUCUCUCUUUUUCCGUUCUUUCGUGUAUAUAACGUUAUGUGGGAUCGCCCGCAUAUUUAUAAGGAAUUCCAAAAUCCUAAUGGCGUUAGAGAUAAGGCCAAAUCGGUUAUUAAUUGUUAUCCUAAUAUGACUAGGAUUUAUCUCUAACUAACUUUCCAAUUUGAAAGCGAGAUUAAUUCUAAUCCAAUUAGAUAACAUAACAUCCGUCGGAUCGAACCCGCUUAUGGGCGUACCCGAUUCGAUUUAACCGAAUGCCAACAGAUACUGAUCAUCAAAACUAAAGUACAGUUUAUGAGGCAUGCUGAUGAUGAUCAUCAAACAUCUUAACCUGGUGGUUUUAAUAUUUUGGAUGGUGGUUAGAUACAAAAAAUUUUAAAAAAAUAUAUAUUAGGGUUUGAGACUUAAAGUAAUUCUAAAAUAAAUGACCAUGAAAAAUAAAAUUUAGGAUUAAUUGCAUACCUCUUCCUCUGAACGCAUCAAAUAUUCAACUUUUCAUAUUUAUUCCUAUAAAAAUCCUAACGUUUUCAAAUAUAUCCCUACUGUAAGGAUCCAUUAGAAAAAUAUUGUUAACAAUAGGUAAAAUACUUAACCCUAAUUAGUGAAUGAGAUAAAUUGACUUUUUUACUCUUUUUAUAUUAUUUGUAACGGCAGAAAGAAAGAAGAUGAUCAUUGGAGAUUUUUAGAAGGAUUUUUUUGCAUAAUUCUAACGGUUGGGACUUUUGAAAUGAUAUAUUUAUGAGGAUAAAAAUGUCAUUUCAUUUAUCCUCUAUUAAAACUAAAAAGUGCUCUAACAUUAAAAAAUCAUAGGUGCAAAUAUGAAUAUUACCGAACUUUUGCAGAAAUAAAAUAUGAAAAGUUAAAUUUUAUAGUGAUAUAUUUGCUAUUCUAUAUAUUUUUCGGAAAAUGGAUAAUUGCCUAUAUACCCCUCAUAUGUUUGAAAAUAUCCGAUUUACCCCUACUUUUUUUUUCUUUCUAAAAUACCCCUCAUAUGUUCCACCGUUAUUGCAAAAUACCUCCGCAAUUAUCUCCUGUUAAGUUAACUUAGGUUAAACGUGAGUUAAACAUCUACCACAGUUAAAAAAAAUUAAAAUACCAAUUUUGCCCUUAACUUAAGGGUAAAUAAGAAAUAUUGGUGACGGUAGAGAGGUAUAUUGGAAAAGACCAAAAGUCAAAAUACUCUUUUGCCCCUGACUUUAAGGGCAAAUAAGAAAGUCAGUGAUGGUGGAAGGGUAUAUUUGAAAGGGCAAAAUAGUAAUUUUACAGAAUUAACAGAAUUAAUUAACAGAUUUUAACUCUAGGGGUAUAUUAGAAAUAGGUUGGAAUAUAAAGAGGAUAUUUUCAAUAUUAACUUUCUAAGAGGGGUAAAUCAAAAAGUCAGAAACUUUUCAGGAGUAUAUAAGCAAUUGCCCCCUUUAAAAAAUUAUAUAAAAUUUUUAAAUUCAUAAAAUUUAUUAUUCCAUUCAUCAGAAUUCAGAACAGAAGCUCCACGUGUCACUAGUGGUCCCGUGCAUUUUCAGGGCUCCAAACGAACGGACCUCGUGCUUCCACUUGGCCGCAUCCGAGUUGCCGCCUCCUCAUUGGCUCCUCUCGCGCACCACCCACGUGAAGUGCUCAAGUGCGUCACGUGCUCCGGGCAGGGCCCAUCGCACGUGCUCCCACCCUCUCUAACGCGUGAGAAAGAAAUCCAACAGUUCACAGAGAACAACUCUCUUCUUUUUUUUCUUUUUCUUUUUUUUUGGCUAAAUUACAGAAAACUCUCGUGUCAAAAUUUAAUUUUACAUUUUCUCUUUUUAUCAUUUAAAAAUUUAUAUUUUACCUCAUUAUAAAAUAAAAAAUAUUCACAGGACAGUAUGAUGUGAGCUGUGAUGAUAAAUGAUCAUUUUGCAUCUCACCAUUUUUCUCCUCAUCAUGUUCACAGGAGAGAAAGCUGAGAGCAUUUUUGAUAUAAAAAAAAAAUAUAAUAAUAUUCUAUAAACGAAACCCUAACGUAUUACUAACGGCCAAAGAGCGAAGUGUACAAUUUUCAUUUUACAAGGGGCAAAAUGUAGGUUUUUAAAUAGUAGGGGGGGAAAGUGAAAAAUCGAAUUUUGAUAGGAGGGUUUUAUAUAAUUUAGCAUUUUUUUGUGUUAAUUUUAUAUAGAUCCCUAUAAACAUAUCGAAUAGUAAAUAUAUCACAACAAAAUUUUAACUUUUCAUAUUCAUCUAUGCAAAAGUCCAGUGACAUUCAUAUUUGUUCCUCUGAUUUGUUACCAUUAGAGCACUGUUUAGUUUUUAACAAAAAAUAAAUGAAAUGAUAUUUUUAUUAUCAUAAAUAUAUCCCUCCAAAAGUCCCAACUGUUAGAACUGUACAGAAAUAUUCUCCCAAAAAAUUUUCAAUGAUCAUUUUAGGGAUAAAAAGUUCAAUUUACAUCGUUCACUACCAGGACUAAGUAUUUUACUUAUGGUUAACUAUAUUUUUCUAAUAUAUUCUAACUGCAGGAGUAUAUUUAAGAACGUUAGGAUUUUCGUAGGAAUAAAUAUGAAGAGUUGAAUUUUAUACUAGGUACCGUUUGGUUCGGGUAUAAGCAAGAACUAGCUAUUACAGGGAUAAGUACAAGUAUGGGGAUAAGAAAAUUAGUGUUUGGAUGAAAAUUGGGUUGUUCCCGGGAAUAAGAAUAAUUUUAGAUAGUUUUAUAUAGAAAAUGGAGGUGUUGGUGGGGAUAACUGAAAACUACUAUUCUCGGAUAAAAAAUUAGCGUUUGGGUAUAAAGGGGGGAUAAGAGCCUAUUCCUAUCCCUAUCCCCUAACCAAACGCUGCGCGCAAUUAAUCUUUUUUUUAUUCAAUAUAUUUACAGAAAACUGCACGCAAUAUCUGAUAUUCAAUAUAUUUACAGAAAACUGCACGCAAUUAACCUUUUUUUUUUAUUCAUCACGGCCUUCUAAUAAAGAUCAUCAUUGUCCAUUUUCUAUGGAAAUUGAAAUUACCUGAUACCAAAAAAAAAAAAAAAAAAAAAAAAAAANUCACAAGAAUUAGUAGGCUAGGAGACAAAUAAAGUAUGGGUGGAUUUCUAUUUUUAUUUUUAUUUUUCUCGAAGAACUUAUAAUAAUCCGCUACAGUGUAUAGCUUUUAGCUAUGGAAUUGUGAGGUGAUGGUUUUCGCUCUUUUCCCUUCACAUGCACACACAAAAAAAAAAAAAGAUAAUUUUUUCUGUAGUUCUAGAUCUUCAUGAGGGAAUUGGCCUUGAAUGGAGCUGAAAUGAAGAGAAUUUUGUCCCCGCGAGGACGAAAACGGGCGGAAAUUUUUCCCACUUGCGGGAACGGGGCGGGUCAGGAAUACUAAUCAGCGCCUUGCAAAAUUUCCAAUCCAAAUAAAAUACUAUAUUAUUAUAUAAUUAUUAAUUUAUUUAUGAUUAUAGAUAGCUGAUUUUGAUAUUUUUUUAAUAUAUUUUAAUAAUUAUUAAGUAUUUUAAACAUAUUUAACUUUUAGUAAAUUUUGAUUGCUAUACAUUUUUAGUAAAUUUGACGAGUCAUACUUAAUAUAAUUCGACACUGAAAACAUAUGAACUAUAAAUUUAAUAAUUGAAUAGCAUUUUUGGGGAGAGAAAACUAGCAUGAUACUCAUUUCAUUUUUUUUUAAAAAAAAAUAAACUAAGAUAGAAAUAUAAAAUAAUUAGACGCAUCAACUACCAAACUCUUUCUCAACUGCGCUAGAUACAGUUGGUAAUCUUCUUACAAUGUCUAGAAGUAAGUUCUUGUCCUCAUACAUAACUUGGACUCUCUAUAAAUGUUGAGAUAAGUUGCAGUUUUUUCUGAGCUCUCUCUCCCUCUCUCUCUAUCUCUCUCUCUCUAGAGCAUAUAUAGAUGAAUAUAUUAAUUCCUUCUAAUGAUGUUUCAUGGCCAAAAUGCUUUGAUAUAGCUGCAUUUGCACCUGCACCUGUAGAGGAAUUGAGCAAAAACAUUGAUGAAAAAAAAUUCUUCUUAAAGGUGCAGGGACAGAUGCAGCUGUAAUCCAUUUUGGAUUCUCCACUUCCCCCCACUUGUAACUUUUGUUCUCUUCAACAUAUUCAAGAGGUGAGUUGAUGUUGUUUUACCAGGAUUUAAUCUUUAAUCUUUAAUCUUUAAUCUUUAAAAAGGUUUUAAUUGUGAGUUGAAGAAAUAAGUUUUUUACUAUUUUGACAACUCUUUUCCAUUCUAAUUAGUAGGCUCUCUCUGAUCUUGACUGCAAAUGCUUGGAUUUUCCUUUUUCCUUUUUUUUUCUUUUUUUUUUUUUUUUUGAAUNCAACUAGCCCCUUUAUUGACCAGUUUUUCCAGUAAAAUUAACACAUUUCAUAGUUUUCUUUUUGUAAAUAUAGUUUCAUUUGAACUGUUUUUCCAUUGAAAUUAACACAUUUCAUAGUUUUCUUUUUGUAAAUAUAGUUUCAUUUAAGAGCUAUGCUGCUGUUGUGCAAAAUAUGUUAGAGCUGGCAAUUCAGCUUGUUGUUUGGGAGCCAGCUCGUAUUUGGCUCAACAUGAGUUCGGAAAAGAUCAUUUGUUUAAAUAAAUAAGCCGAAUAUGAACAGCUCGAAAUCUUAACGAGCCGAACAUAAACUAGAGUCAGCUCACUCGUAUUCAACUCGAUAUAUCUCGCGUAUGUGUGUGCGUAUAUAUAUAAAAGUUAGUACUUCCGACUUUUUGUCCUUGGAUCAAAAAUUGUAAGAUUGGGAUGAUAGUAGUCCACUUUAAGAUUGAGUAGUCAACCUAGGAUAAUAAUAUUAAUCUAAAGGUCAGAAAUGAUCAAAAGGAUUGAUCCAAGGCCAAAAAGUUGGAAGCACAAACUCUCAUAUACUUUCGAAAGCAUAGUAGCUCUACUCUCUCUCUCUCUCUCUCUCUCUCUCUAUAUAUAUAUAUAUAUAUAUUGUAAAUUAUCACUAUUUGGAUUUUAGGCCGGCUGGAAUAUAAAAAGAACUAUAUUUUAUAAGUUUUAAUAAUUAAGAUUUUAAUUUUUUUAAUUUUCUUUCAACUUUCUAGCUAGUAGUAGUGCUGACAAUUUAACUUAUGUUCACGUGCCAAUUUAUGUUCGGCUAGUUAAUAAGCCAAACACAAUCUGAAUUUAUGAGCUCGAUAUUUUAACGAGCUAACUCGUGUUCGGCUCGUUUAACAAACUAAAAAGUACAAGCCGGUCUCAGUUCACUCUGUGUUCGAAUCUCACUCAUGUUCGGCUCGAUGACAACCCUAAAAUACGUACAUUGUUUUGGAAAGUUGCAGGACAAAAGAUCUUUAUGUGUCAGUGCUACAAGGUACAGUUGAUAUCUAUUAGUAAAGGCACCAUAGUUUUGAAGCAUAAAAGAAAACAUGCUACAGUGUAUUAAUGCAGAAUAUAUGUACUACAAGAUGCUAUAAAUCAGAUCUUUUUGGUUUCUUUAUGAUUGAUGACAGAAUUAAUAUUUUUAUUUUUAAUAAACUUGAUUUUGUGAUCUAAUCGCAGCUUCAUUAAUCCAAACGACCACCCCUAAUUUGAAUGAGUUUGACAAAAUUAUGAGGAUCUGAAUCUCUUAUUUUCGUAGCGAUAUUAUAAUUAUGUCGGUCAUUUAGUAUAGAGUUUUCCUUUCCUUUUUUUUUUUUUUUUUUUUUUUCUUUUUAGGCUCCAAGGCCCGUAACACCCUACCCUACCCCAUCAAGGAAUGAUAUAAUCCUAGUAUUUCAAGACAAGAACCAAGCAAAUGUAAAAUUCAAUUAUUAAAAAAAAAAAAAGAGGGGAACCUUAUUUUAUUUUGUAUUAUUUGCUUCUAUUAUUGCUUACAAUUUUUUAGUAUAAAACACAAGGUGUAGUUUAUACCUUGACCCCCUCCCCUUUUCAUUUGCCUCCACUAUCCUUCUCCUGUAGAUUCAUUCCCUCCUCAUUUCAUGAGAAAAAAACCAGAAAAUAAAGAAAUGAUGUAUAACUUUCAGGUCAUGUUUGAAUGCACAGUAAAAAAAAAAUCAUAAAAUUUAUAGCCUGAGAUCUGAAGCUGAAUUCAGCUCUGAGCCCCAUGCAAGCUUUCAUUUGACUACUGCUGCAAACAUAAUCAACAGCACAGAAUACAGUUCCAAGUUAAAUUUUCGAUAUAGGCUCUACCGGAGCUCAAUCAACACAAUUAUAUGCAUAUAUACCUUGAAUUCUAAAUGUCCAGGCACAAAGUAACAUAAAUUCCGAUGCACGAUAUUUAAUUGAAACUCUUAACUGCAACUUAUAUAUCAUGAAGAAAAAAAAUAAUACACAAUUAAAUUACAGCAAUAUCAAUUUCCCAGACCGGCGAAUCACCGGAUUAACACACUUGAAAUUACUUUCAGGGGGCAUGAUAGGUCAAAAUGUGCCCUAUAUUCUUCAGACUAGCUACAAAGCUAGAAGAGUUCAAGCCCCUCAGCUUGUUUUCCCCAACUAAUCAACUAAUUACAUGCUCUUUACAGUAAAAUAACAAAGGAGAGGUUAGAGAAAGACCAGAACAAACAACCAAAAAGGGAAAAAAGAAAAAAAACCUAAGAAUCAGAGGCUAAUGUUCAUGCUUCACCCGCCCUUUGAGUAUUCCAGGAAUAGGAGGAGAAUUAAUCGGCGGCUUGGCCAUUGUAUCCGGCCCUGUGGGUUGCGGCAUGUGAUGCUGAUGUGUAUUUGGUGUGCUGGAGCAUUCGCCUCCGUUGGAACUCGGCUCACAGGAGCCCUCCUUUUGGCCCCUUUCGCAGAACCUCAUGGCUUUGAGCACAUAAGAGUCAUCGUGCAACUCGAAUGGAGUGCUGUUAUGGAAACAGACAUCAGAAGAUAUGCAUACAAAGGAACCUAAGCGGUGUUUGUGUUUUAAUAAUCUACAAUAUUUCGAUCAUAGAAAGCUCAGGUUCAAUCAUUACAUUAAUGUCUCUUUUAAAGUUAAAGGAAGAUAGCUAGUACAAGUUUAGCAUGUUCCUGAGUUUAUUAUAUGUUCUGCUUGUAAAGACCGUAAAGACCAUGCAGAUCACAGGACAACAGUAUUGACGCCGAAGAGAAAUAGGAAACUACAAUAGCUGAUGUAGGACAAAUGAGUAACAUAAUAAAAAGUGUCUCAAAAGUGAUAAUGUAGGUCACUUAGCUAGGCCAUCCACAAAAUUUUACGGCGAUACUGUGAGACAUGGUUAUCCCUGGUAGUGAUCUUGGUUUGCAUAUCCCUGCACUAAUUAUACAUAUGUGCAGAUAAAAGAUUCUCGAGUUAUUUUAUAUUAUUUAAUAUCCAAAUUUCCUAUAUCUAUGCAAGUAAUUAUUUGUCUGCAGGUUGACGAAUAGCUCCAUCUGUUAGGUAUAGCUCUGUACAGCAGCAAGAAUUCAAGUUAAAUGACCCCAAGAAUCAAGACUCUUAAUUCCCCAAGAGGCAGAAGAGAUGGGAAUAAAAAAGGGGGGGAAAAAUAAGCCUCUUAUUCAUGAAACAACCAUCGAAGACAGAUUUAACAAACAAGGACUUAAGCACUGUUGCACAGGGUUGUGCCGAAAACUUGCCGGUACAGCACAACAUCAUGCGUGCGGGCCGUGCCAAUGCGUGCCAGUCACAAAAAUUACAUACGUGCGGACACAUAAUGACAUAAAAUAUUUAUUUUCUUCAGCAACAAAAUAUUCUAAUUACUUAGCAUGUGUCAUUGUCAAAUCUUUUGAACUUUAUUGAGAAAAUUACUUACUAAUUUAAAGAAAGAGGGUUUUGAGUUAUGCUAUCAGCCCGGGGACUGUAUCGUGACGAUAUCUUGUUGGCAUGAUACAGCAUGAUAGAUAAGGCUUGCCCGAUGGGCACUUAAAUCCUUAUUAAUAAAUAUUAAUUGAGUACCCAAAGCCUUCUCGACGGUAGAAACCAAAGAAAAUAUUGAUCAUAUGAUAUCAGGAUGAAUAGAAAUAGAAAAUGAGAUGAUUCGUGGGCAUCAAAGCAUGAGUCAUGACAUAACAGAGUGUGCCAAGACGCAUCAUCUACAUCACCUGUUGAAGUCGAAAUGCACCAGCUGCAUAUCUUCUGAAAUUUCAACUUCCACAGUAGCAUGUGGGCGAGUCUUUUUUAACACAUACCAUAGAGAAUGACAUCAGUAUUAGCCAAAUGCCUUAUACAAGAGAAAGAUGAGAAAAAUUCUAACAUCAGUAGUUGCAUAUUUCCAUAUAUUAAUAAAAAGAAAUUCAUGUAUGUUACAGCCAAAUAGCUUCUAGGACAAAUGAUAUUUAAGUAAUUGGUAAUACCAUAUCCUAUCUAUAUAAAAUCUAAAUAGCAGGUAGUGGAAAAGAAGCUAUUUACUGGUCAUACUUAAUAAAUUUACCUUUUUAAGUCAAAUUAGUCUUGAGCGAAUUCACUUACGAAAAUUCACUAAUCAUUUAGCAUGCAGCAUUGGGGUGAGGGUUCUCAUAGUCAAGAUUCUUUCUCCUACUAAGGUGGUGGAAUGUAAAAUAUUCCAGUUUUCAGAAAAGAACUCAUAGAUAAGGUCUCAUUUGGUCACACUUGCGCUUUUUUUUUUCUUCAACUCAUAUUGUGAUGGUAUCAGCGGAAACAAGCCUAGGCCCUAGCCCAUAUGUAGUAGCAAGAACUCAACCAACAAGAACUCUCAUCUAAUUACUAGUACUUUCUUGAACACUACUGAAAUUGAAUAAUUUGCAGAGCUAUUGCCUUCUUUCUCCUGGACCUCAUAGAAAACACCUAUCAUAUGAUCCACAGGUUCUUUUCUGGAAAAAGCAACAUUUUUAAGACGCGCAUAAGAUCAUGGCAACAUCAGUGUGAGAGAAGACUACAUAGAGGCUAGUGUGAUGUACUCGAUUAAGGGAAAAUUUCAAUGAUAUCCCCUUGUUAGGUUAGAUAUGAUACUUCACCUGCAUUAAAUAUUGAAAAACGAUGGGUUCUCACAUUUUGUCCAAACAUUGUUCUCGAAAAUCCUUAAUCAUUCCCGAAAGAUCAAAAAAAGAAAGUCACAUGCUCGCUUGAACAUACAUUUUACACAAUCAUUCAUCAGCAGGAAAUAAGUGAUACAUAUAUAAUGUUCAUUUUUACAUGCAAAAGCACAACUGGCAAUUUAUUAUAUAGCAGCAAUCAACUAAAAGGAAGGUAUAACAACAAUGAUUAAGUACAGAGGACAAAUAUUUUUAGUUUAGAAGUCUAAAAAAAUUAUGUUCACACUUGGUUAAAAAAAAAAAAGAAAAAAAAAAAGAAAAAAAAAAAGAAGAGAGAAUUAUAAUAAGCUCAGAAUUAAGCUUAGAAGAAGAUCAGAUAGGUUUUAUUCAUCAAUAUUCAUUCAGGCUCAAUUGUCAUAAGGAACAAACAAGGAGAUAAGCAAUGCUUCAACAUAACCAUGAGAAAAGUUUGAAUUUGCAUUUUCACGACGGAAAGACCCAAAUUAGAAAAUAAAAGUCAAAGCACGGAUUGUAGCAAUUUAAAUCACAUCUAGGUGGCAAGCAAUCCAAGCUUGGUGUGAUACUAAAAUUGUAAAUAGUUUAAGCCUAAAAAAAAUAAAGAAAGGAUGACCUAUCUGAUACUCAUGUCAAAGCGAUUAUUAGUACCAACAGAAACAACAAUAAUAUCAAUCAAUACGGCACAACCAAAAUCAAUACAUGGCAAAAAAAAAAANGUUCGAAUGAAGACUUUCUUUUUCUACGGUUUGAGUUUGAGUGGAAAUUGCAGUUGGUUUUACCUUCACUUAGGAAAAAAAAAAAAAAAAAAACUUUCCUCGAUUGACAAUCACUGAGGCAUUGGAUUAUUUCAACAAAGGUUUAAAUGCAAACAAAGAUAAGUGUAAAAGAAAGUUGAUAAAGAAGUUCUAAAUCCAUUCUCUUCUCACUAUCUUUCUGAUAAUUCAAGGUUUUUGCCCCGAAUCCCUUCAAAUCAAGAACAACAUAUUCUCAAAACUAGAUAAUAAGACCCAGAAGUAAAGAACAGAUUGCAUAUUGCUAUAUAUAGAAGUUACAGAACAAUUUAGUAAACUAAAGGUCAACCCCUGCCUAAUCUUGCUUUCAGCCUACUUCAUAUGCAUAUCAUAGGUACAAGCAUGUUGAAAUUAUAAUUCUGUCACACAGAUAUAAAACUGUUUCAUUGCACACAGCUCAGAUACUAAUUAGGUCCUAAAGUUAAAUUGACCAAAAUACACAAGUAAUAUACAGAAUUUGGUUUAUAAACAACAGUUACAGUACCUGAACUAAGAUGAAAGGUAAAGCGACACCACCAGAAGGAAUAUUUCCUGAUCCAUAUAAAUGUUCAUUUCGCUGUACCAAGUUUUGCAGUCCUAUGAACUAAACGAAGGGGAAAAAUUAAAAAAAAAGUGAGCUUACUGGUCAUCCAAGCAAUCAGUUUCUUGUUGACCACAGCCAAGAUAGUAAGAUAUUACAUAAUUAAUGCCAGUCUAGACUUGUUGUUCCUCUUAUAACACAAUAUGUGCUUGUUGCAUUAGUAAACUCACUGAACUUAAUUGUAGAAUAAAGUUGUCAAAGAUGGCAGAUGAUAUAAGCACAUUUAAUAAUACUAUUUAAGAGCGCAUUCUCCACUACUUCCAAGGUCAAUAUAUUGAAAUAAAUAUCAUACUGUGAUCAUAAAUGACAAGUCAAAUAGGUGCAACUUUCCUUGAUUAGUGACUAUAGGAAGAGUUUGAACAAUCAGUGAGAUACUUAAAAAUGUAUAAGCUUCAUCAUUAUUCUUUAUGUUCUCUGGCCUACAAAAGCAAAACAUAAUCAGCAAAGCUUAGGCAUGCCAUGAUAUCAGUGUUUCAUACUACCAGGCAAUGACUUGAGCGAUACAAAAGAUGCAGACAACACUAGAAUGACAACAUAAUAAAUUUGGAAAACAAUAUAUGUCAGAGUAAGUUACUUUCAUCAUGACUAAGAACAAUAGUGCAAUCUUACUUGGUCUUGUAAUUCUUGCAAAUAUGCAGUUUUCUUCUCAAUCCUGUUUUUCAGUGCCAUGCGUUCUGCCUGUGAUAAUUAUGACUACAGAAGAUUAGAAUUAAUUCCAAUAACACUUGUUGCAUUUUCAUAUAUCAAACAAAAAAAUCACUUAAUAAAGUCUAGGCUUCUAGCAUAAAUAAUUCUCGCUAGAUACAAGCAUUUCACAUACUAAAAAGUAUAAUACUGAAAACCUUUAAUUCUUCAAUAUCAUUUAGACUAGUUCGAGGUAACCCCUUCCACUGUAUUUCUUUCUUAUCUUUCGAGAUAAUAUCCAUAGCCAUGAGAACAUUGAGGGCAUCAUACACCCUCCGACGUAUGUUCUUCUCAUCGUACUGUUGCUGCAUUUUUAAGAUAUCCAUGAAAUCAUGCUCACCAAAUGAAAUCAAUUACAGUAAAAACAAGGGAUGAUCAUCUAUUUGUACUGGAAUAGAAUACCUGGUCUGGGGAUGCCAAUUUACCAUUGGGAUCUGCAAACUCAGCUACAAGUUCAUCUGCAACCUGACAAAAUUUUUAAGAAAUUUAGACACGAAAGCUCAAAUGCAAUGAACUAGAGUGGCAACCAUAAGCACAACAGGAGUGUUUAAAGCAAGAAAUAACAUUUGACUUAACAGAAGGAAUAUGACAGAAAUAACAUGCGAAAAAUGAAGAAAGCUCAUAAUACUUGAUUACUACUAAUAGAAACUAGCAAUGUGGAACAGGUAGUUAUCAAGCUUCACACAGAAAUAGAUGCCAAAAUAAGAAAACACUAAACUUAAAUAACCAAUGAACAGAUUGAGAAGAGAAAAGCUGACCUCAUUGUAAGUAGUUCUCCCCUUGCUUUCCACUUUCUCACAAACUGAGCGUGAACAGAAAAGACAAAACAUGCACAUUGCAGAAGCAAAUAUUAUUAAUUUCUAAAAUGCAAUGCAAAUAGAAGGUAAAGUAACCGUAUACUGAUACCCCAUAUCUUCAGUACAUAAAGCUAUCCCAUGGCAGAAAGUUUUGCUAGUAGCAAUAUCAAAUUAGUGAGAAGAUAUGUAACAUCAACUCGGAUUGCCAUAAUAAACAUCUCCUAAGACAAGAAAGAGAACACCAUGCAACAAACCAGCAUACGAAGAAGAAUUUUCUAUUUACCUUUCAUACUAAACUGGCGGAGCCCUCUACCACUUUUAUCACCUGCGGUCACCCUAGCUCCGCGUUUUUUCUUCUUCCCACUGAUCAAGCACAUUACUAUAAACAUAUCAUGGACAAAAUAAAGGCGUACAAUAAACCAAAAUGUAUAUACAUUCUUCUGUUAUUCAACUAUCUCCAACAAGCCCAGUGUUACAGGUCCAGUAAAUAAUGAACCAGAAGAAACCAGUGGUCAUCAGUGGGACAUUUCUCUAAAAAGUAGAUAUUGAUAUCAAAAUAGUAUGUUUGGCAGCAUGGAAAUAGCAUUAUUUGGUUAUAAAGGUCAAAAUAUAGGUUCUCUCUUUCCUUGCACAGAAUAUGGCAUAAAAUAACUAUAAAUGCUUCUCGAAACACUAGUGGGCAAGUGAUUAUUAAUUGAUCAAACUCACCAAGAGCAAAACAAAUCCAGCCAAAGCCAGAGAUCCAAGAAAAGAAACUGCCAAAGGUUGCUCAUUGCACCUAGAAUUUUCAUUCACAAUUUACACUACCAGUGGAAAGAGCAACAUCUACACUAGCAUUUCUCUGUCCUUAAUCCUCAAAACAACCAUUAUUUGCAGAACAUGGAAAAGGAGAGAAUUCAUAUGUAGAUCUUGAUGUAUUACCUAUCCUGCUUUAACAACGCGACAAAGAAGGCAACCUAACUCAAAACGCAAAACGACUAGCAACUCCAUUUUCACGGAGGAAAAAAAGACAGAAAUAGUAUGAGGAAAUGAACUUGGGUCAAGGGGCCAAAGAGAUAUAACUGCCAACAAAUCAUCACACAAAAUGCAAUCAACGAUUUCGUUACCUCAAAAUCUGAUAGAGUAGAAAAUGAACAUAUAUCACUACUCACCUAAUCAAACACUCCCAAUCAUACUCAACCCUAAAAGCCAUACCAUAUUUGACAAAACCAAUCAUUACCUUCAACAAAUCAUUGCACAAAAUCUUUAGCAUCUAAAAACCCCCUUGCUUUUACUUGUAUUGCCUUCUUUUCCUCACCAAUUUUUUUCUGGCUUGGACUUCUAGCAUAGAAACAUCUGACGAAUAUAAUAAAAGGGGCCAUAUCUGCCCACAAAAGAGAGCUGAUUAGCUCAUACUUCCCACCAUAUCCCUCUUCAUUACUACAACAUCAAGCCCCAACAUAUAUGCGAACCCAAUAAGAUAAGUUCAAGGGGACAAAAUCAGCUGUUUUUUUAUACUUAAAGACACUCUAAAUCAAACCUGGCGAUUUCUUCUUAUCUUGGAUCCUAAAAUAAAGAUUAUACAGCAUGCAAACUCUUCACCAAUUAUACAAUAAAAACCCAGCAUUCCAUCAUUUAAGCACAAUUCAUCACAUCAGCAAUAUAAAGCACCAUAUAACAACACCGCAAUCCAGAAAAAAAAAAAUUAAAAAAAAAUCACUUUUACCCUAACCCAAGUUACGCGCACUUGAACACAAAUCAACAACCCAACUUUUAGAGGGGGAAAAAAGAAGUUGAGGACGAACCUAACUGCCGCCUGCGACGAGGGCGCGUCAUCGCCAUGGAUGUCGAGGUUGUUGAGCCUCACGAAGGUGUUCUCGCUCGCGGGGGUCCCGGUCCCCGUCCCCGUCCCCGUCCCCGCACCGACCACCUCUGCUGCUCCUGAUAUCGCCGGAAGUGGAAGCGGAAGCGGAAUUGGGAUCGGUCAGCAGGCUUCCCUGCGGAGCUCGGUGCCGGGCUAUUUCGGCAGACUGAGCAGCACAAUGUCUUCCUACAGCAAUCCCACGGGCAGUGGGCUGCCUGCUGCUGCAGUGUUAGGCCGCAACCUUCCCUCAUCGCAGCCUUCGGCCAUGGCUGGUGCCACUCCGGGCCUUUCGUCCGUGCCCGGUCAGGUUCCUGCAUUGCUGGGCGGUGCCGGCCCUGGAGGUUAUCGUGGAGGCUUGGAUGGUGCUUAUGGGUCUUCUCAGUUUGGUGCUCCUGGUCUAGGUGGGUUCGGAGGCCUUGGAAUGGGCACAGGAUCUUCGCUGUAUCGCGUGCCUCCGACCUCAAUUGGGGUGCCUUCCGGGGGUUAUUCGGAAAGCGCGCACUAUUCUCUGUCUUCGUCGGCGUACCCAAGCCAGCAUCUCCAGAAAAUUGGUUCAUCUCCUGGGCCCGGGGCUGUGGUUCCAAGUGCGGCAGGACUUUACCCGACCUUGCCGCCGUAUUUCUGAGGUACUUCGCUUCAUACAUCAUAUUUUUUUUCCUCUUCUGACAUAUUGCUGAUCAGUUCUUUGUUUUUUAUGUUGUUGUAGCUCACAAAGUUAGUAAGUUGCUUAGUGAAGUGUUAUGUGCCAUGAUUCUUCCAAAGCAGAACUAACGCGCCUGUACUAACUUGUCAAAGUGGCCCUUAAGUACAUAACUUGCAUUGCCAAAACCCUAAUUACUAUUUUCACUGUUUAGUUGUUAUAUGCUGAGGCACAUCCUAAUUUAGUCAGUGGGGAGCUAUCGGUUGUGACAAACCCAUUGUGUUAGCCUUGAGAUGUUCACUAAUGUGUAAGCAUCCUCCCAGUAUACAUCCAUCUAAGAUGCCAAACAUAUGAUAUCCGGCAAUGUCAUUGCCACCGACUUUGACGACAUAUUUUGUCUGACAGACCAAAGAAAACUCCUGCGAUAUAUCUAACCAAGUGGCUUGCUUAAAUACUACCGCUGGAGGCGGCUCUUGGGCCAUAUGGAAAGGCCCAAGUAAUUUACUAAUAGCAGUUUGGAAUUACAUUUAAUCAACAUGGCAUGAGAUUCUUAAGACUAAGUUAUUAUUAGAUUUCUAUACCUUGCAACCCAACCCCAUUCCCGUGUCCUGUCGUCCUCCGACUGGGUCUACUGGGUCAGUUCUGACUUUGUUGUAAGUGCUGCUUUGGGCCUUGUUCUGAUUGCUGUGGAUGUUAAAUUCUCUUGAAAUGUCUUAUGCUGAAAAUCAUGCAACCAUGUUGUAACUAUCAUGGUUGUUCUUCUUAUCCAUUGUUUCUAAUUUGUAUGUGUGUGUUUUAGUGAUGAGUUUGAAUGUGCAAUUUAUUUUUGGUUGAUCUUAGAAUUGAAGCUUCGUUGAAUUUACCACUUUGAGUUUAAGAAUGUCUGUUUUUUUAGGAACAAAUAAUGAUGUUUACUGAUGCUCAAAUACUGUUAGUUAGGCAUUGUGAUUCUUUUAGGCUACAUGGUUAUGGGGACAAUAGGGGAUCUCCUUCAUCCUGCCAAUGAAAAUUGAUAGUGGUUGUUAUUUUGUUCAAGUUGAGUUACUUUGUAUGUCUGCCGGGGAUUGUCUUUUUUCAUUUUUUAAGAUGUUAGCAUAGCUCCUUUGUAAUGUGGUAAAGAAGUGAUGACUUUUGUGGUUGGUUGUGUUUGUUGCCUCCUGUUGCAUGUGUGNUUCAAAAUCAAUAAUUUUUAACGGCUGAAAAUAAAAAUUCUAUAAAAAGUGGUGAUAUAGCACUAAAAUUUUCGAUCAGAAAUAUUGAUCUUGUUAUAGAUAGUAUAAAGAAUUUUGUAUCAAAAUUUAAUCUGAUUUGAAUACUUCUACACCGUUAAACUUGAAAAUGGCAGAUAUCAACCAUUAAAAAUUAUUGAUUUUGAAUCCUUUCGAUCACUAGAUAAGUGAUAUCAAAAAAUCGCAAAAAUUAUUUUCUAUAAACUUCAAAUUCCCUAGAUCAAGUGUAACGGAGCCAAUCGUCGAUUCGAAAAUUUCAUAGCUAUGGUGCUCGUAAAAACACCAAGCACUUGGUGCUAGUAAUUUUUUUAUCGUUAGAUCUACGCCGUUGAUCAUUUUUAACCGUUAGAUUAUACACUUUAACCAACCAACCACCCACUCAAUCCUAGAGAGCCCACAUCAUCCUAACCGCAUAUUCCUUAAUCCAAUAGCUAAAAAUCUACAAGUAUCAAUAACUUGGUACUUUUAAAAGCAUAAGAGCUCAAUUAUAUAUAUAUAUAUAUAUAUAUAGUUGAGCUAGAAUACUAUCGAUAGUAAACGGGCUUCGAUACCACCCAUUUGUUUUCGAUGAUAGAGCCUCCAAAUCGACGAUCAGCACCGUUCAACAUGAUCUAUACCACUUGAAGUGUUUAGAAAGUAUUUCAAAUCUUUUCGACAUCAUUUGCCUAAUGAUCAAAGGGUUUCAAAAUAUGUAAUUUUAAUGGUCGAUAUGAGGCGUUUUCUAGUUUAACGGCGUAAAGAUAUCCAAAUCAAUUGAAAUUUUGUUAGAAAAUUUUUUAAACUAUUUAAAAUAAGAUCUAUACUCUUGAUCUUGAUUACAAGAUUCCUAUCAUCAUUUUUUAAAGAAUAUUUAUUUUCAGCCGUUCAUUUUUGUGUCUAUUCGAUGGAUAAGAAAACAAUAUCGAAAAUGUAUGAAAUUUAAUUUCUAAACACUUCAAGUGGUAUAGAUUACAUUUAACGGUGCCGAUCGUCAAUUUGAAGGCUCCAUCAUUGAAAAUAAAUGGGUGGCAACGAAAUCCGUUUACUAUCGAUAGUAUUCUAGCUCAACUAUAUAUAUAUAUAUAUAUAUAUAUAUAUAUAUAUAUAUGUAUGUAUGUAUGUAUGUAUGUAUGUAUGUAUGUAUGUAUACAUACAUACAUAUAAACUUUUUCUUUUUUUCUCUUUACAACCUGAUGGUCUAUCUUUUUUUUAAAGGUCUUAUACUUGUUAUUUGUUUUUUUCAAUAAACAAUUUGUCUUAUUAUUCUUUGACUGUGUAAUACCUUACACAAUGGAUUGAUGUUUAGAAUUGGUAUUCUAAACAAACUAAAAACAUAUACAAUUUUCUUUGCAAAAAAAAAAAAUCAUAUAUAAAAGCAUUAAGAUUAGCACCUCACACAAAAAAAAAUCUUGAAUAAUUAUUGCAAAAAUAUUUGUAAAUUACUUCACAAUAUUUGGCAAAUCAGCGCAAGAGUUGAUACAUGUUCCGGCUCAACAACUUGCAACUGCAGCAAAUUCAAACAGAUUUAUUCUACCUUCUAUUAUUAAAAAUAUUAUUGGUCAAACUUUUGUUUUUCAAGUUGCCCUUGACACUCGCAAAUUGAAUUCAAGUAUGCAAUCACUCAGAGUCAUAAAGAUUUUUCAAAAUGUUUUGCCUGCAAAGAUCAAGAUUGAGAAGGAAAAUGAAGAUGCUGUCGAUAUUAAGAAAGACGGUAUACCUGCAACCCCUAAGGAAUCACAAAAUUAUAUAGUGGACAAAACAUCUGCCAGUGACGUGACACAAACAAAGUAAGAGUACUUAUCUAUAUUUACAUAGUACCUUAAUUGUGUUUAUUGUAAAACCUAUAUUUAGUUUUUUUUUUUUUUGUAUGUAUAACUCUCAAAUUUAAAACCUAUAUUUACUCUUUUUUUUGUAUGUAUAAUUCUCAAAUUUAUGGUGAUAAGGAGUGCUCAAUUAAGGAUGGAUGACCCUGUUAAACAGUCAAGAGGCAAGAAAAAGAAACUCAGGUAUCGGAGAAUACUUAUACAAUUUAUACAAUACAUAUAAUUUGGUACCAAUGUUAUACUAAUUUUAUUUUUAUAUUUGUACUUUUUGAAUUCCUAAUGAAGAGAAGUGCUCAAUCUAACUUUGACGAAGAUGCGAAACAAUCAAGAGGUAGAAAAAUAAACCGCAGGUAAUGAAAAAAUUUUCUAACAAAAUAAACCAAUAAAUUCUUUAUAUUUCAGAUAAAAUGUUAAGAAUAUAAGCUCAUUCCAAUCCUAUAAUAUUUGAUUGAAGUUAAUAUUAUUUAAAAAAUAUUAACUUAAUUAGAUGCAAAGUUUGUUGGCUGACAAUUAGAUUUUAUAUUGCUAUUGUAAUUUUAAUGUAAUAAUUAAAUUUAUAAGUAAUAUAAGUAGAUGUGUGCUAAUAAUUAAUCAAUUUCAUAGCUAACAGAUUUUAUAACUAACCCCAUCAUCUUAUAAUUUAUGCUAUGGUAAAGUUAUGAUUUUUAAGAUAAAUGAUAAUUAAAUUAAUGACUAACACAUUUUAUGUGGAAGAUUGAGGCCACACGUGAUGUAGUUUUAAUUUUUUGCCUUUUGAGAAGCGGCAAACGAAAAAGCCAUUUUUUUUCAAAAAUACAUAGCAACUUUUUUAUGUGAAAAAUAGUUUUACGUUUGAAACAAACAAACGAAAACUAUUUUUAUUUUUCUCUUCCAAGCACAGUUUCUGUGUGCUCAAAUUAAACUUUAAUUUUAAUAAUUUUAUAUUAUAUAAAAAUUAUCAGUCUAAUUGGGCAAAAAGUAUUAUGGACUUUUUAUGUAGUUAUGAUUGAAUAAAAUUAUGUAUCUCAUAAAAGCCCUUGUAUUGGCACAAUUUUAAGGUCCUUCUUAUGCAUUUAGAUCACCUUUUUAUGCAAUCAAUAUGGGUAGCCUAGUUUGAAAUUUAGCUAAUUAUUAUUAAUUUAAAACAGCGACACAUUCCAUUUCCUCUUCGUACACAAUUUUAAGGUGAACAAUAACAGCUGUAAACUAUGCAGAAACACUUAGACCGCUUAAUGCUAUGAAAAUUCACUAUGCUUCAAAUCCCUAAUUUUGGCCUUAAAUAUCAAUAUAAAUUACAAAACAGGAAAGCGAAUACUACUACUACUACAUAGUACCAAAUUUGCCCUAUUUCUCUCUCCCACAAAUUAACAAGUAGAACCAUUAAAUCAGACAUACAAAAACUCCCUGCAUCUUAAUUUGAAGCAAAAGAAUAAAAAAUAAAUUAGCGCUACUUCUCUUCCCACCAAAUAAUUCAGAAGAAUGAUUGGGCCUAGUAGUAAAGUCUUCAAUCUGGAUCAUAAUACUUCAAUGAGAAGACUCAGAGAUUUGUAUUAUUCUUCCUUUGAAGAUUCAGAUAUGGAGCGCUUGGAGCGCCUUUGAGAAAGUAAGAGUUUCGUCCUCUCGAGGACACCAAAGAAUAUGGACCCACCGAUGCCGAUCCACAGAACUCUUGGUCCGACACCCUGUUUAGAAAUUAAUCAUGAGAAACAAAGAUUAAGAAAAAUAACGUUCUAAUUAGAAAAUUAAGUCCAUAACAACGCAAUAUAUCAGGACAAAUUUGCAAUACAUUUCCUCUGUUGUAAGCAACAUAAAGUGCUUCCUUUACUCCUCAGAAUUUAUAUAGAGAAGAGAAAUGGCUAAUGUUGGUAUACCUUCAAAAACGCAGCUGGGCCUUCUUCUCGAAGAAUAGUCUGAGCACAACUUAGAAGCCCAUUGUAUUGAUUUGCUUGACCCUGCAAUAGAGAGAGAUUUGAAGAAACAAAUAAUCUUUGAAAAGGUUCAGUGAUUAGUAUAAAUUUAGAAAGCGACAAACUCAACCUGAACCAUCAAUCUUGUUUUCAUCACAUCAAGCGGUGUGGUUAUAGCUCCAGUUAUUGCCCCUGAGAAAUUAAAAAGAUAGCUGUAGAUUUUUCUGAUACUUAAAAAUGAAAUUCCUUCGUAAAGCUGGAAAUUGAAAGCAAGGAUCUAAUGGGUAGUAGAAAAUAAGAUAGUCCAUAGAUAAUAAUUUUGCCUAAGUACGGCCCAGUUCUUUCCUUUAUCCAGGGAGAGGGACCAGUUUCCAGGAUUAUAUCGUCUUUUGCCAAAUUGACGAUCGUAACAAGGUAUAUAGGUUCCAAAUUCCAUUAGAAACUUCUUUAAGCAAUAAUAUUCUUUUAGUCUGAAAUUUUUUGUAGUAAUUUCAGCAGAUGAUUCGACAAGAAUGCCAAACUGUCAAAAAAGAUAUCCUACUCGUACAGACAUAGAAGUACUCUGCAUAACAAAAAAAAGAUAAGACAAUAGAGGCAACGAAGUACAGAGAUGCUUCUUUUUGUCACUGAAAUGGAAAUAAGACAACACGUUUUUGGGACCGAAAGCAGCGCAACUGAUUUACCAGCUACUGCUCCAAUUACAGCAUUUUCUGGAUCAUUUAACUCUCGCUUUGCCUGCACGAAAAAGAUAAUUGAAACAAAUUUACUCAAGGUUGAAGAAGACUAGUUACUAAAUCAAUAUCAUUUUCGGAUUUUCCUCAAGAAGCUGUCCCAAAACCAUUCAGUUCAGGAGUUAAUAAACACGGAGAUCCACCAAUACUGCAGGAACAUGAAAUAGGUACUUAAUGUAAAUGAAUUUGAGUUAAAUUAAUCGUACCGCAAUCUUGUAUCCAAUUCGAAGCUGCUCAUAUAAACAAAACUGGAUGGCAUCAAAUGGUAGAUCUCGCAACAGAAAGGAACUGUAGCCCUACAAGCCCAAGAAAUAACAAGGUAAAGCAUGUUACAGUAUUUCUAGUGUAGUUGAAAAGGCAUAAGAAGCCGAAAUAUAUAAUUUAUAUCAUCAUAGUAGGAUUUAUGAAAUCUAAAAAUAGUAAAAACUUAGGGGCAAUCAGAUGUACAUACAGCAUAAAGACCUUUGAAGCCUUCUUUUGCAAGAAUAAGCCGAACGGCAUCUGGAGCUGAGCUAAAUUGUCCAGUCUGCAUCCUUUGUUUAACCACCUGAAAGAGGUGAAGUCUGUGAAUUUAACGUACUUCGAGACACUUCGAUAUAUAUGCACGCUCAUCGAUGUACAUACCUCCGUAGGAACACGGAUAAGAGAAGCAGCAGCCCCACCAAUGGCCCCUGCAGUCUAUAUUACUUCCAUAUAUUAGAAUGCGGCAAGAAUAAGAUAACAUAUAUACAAAACCCUUCUGAUAUCCAUGGAAUUUCACAAGAGAUAUGUAAUAUCCAAUGUAAUCAAGCAGGCAUAGAAGCAUUAACAAAUAAUCAACCCUUUCAAAGCAAGCUCAGGUACACAAAUCAACAUGUUUUUCCUCAAAUAAACUUGGAUUUCAUGUUUGUAUUCACUAGACAUAAAUAAAUUUUCUAUCAUGAGAAAAUAGUUCAAUGGCCAGCAUGAAUAGUCUGAGAGAUGAUAUCAGAAUUGUCUUCAAAUUAAUGUUUAUGACUAAAAGUUAUUAUUAUGCAAACAAAGUGCCUUACAACAAAGACAAUCAAGUUCUUCUCCAUGUGAGCAGGCUGAACCUUAAGGUCACCCAACUAAAAGUUUCAUUAGAAACAGAAACAACACAAAAUACUUGAAAUCUGCUUUAAGUUACCAGAUGAGCGACAGCACUAAACUUUUCAGGAAAUAUUUCCAGUAACUUUUGUUUUGUAGGCUCAUAUAUGCCCACGAAUACAGCAGAUGCCCUACAAACAAAGAGAUUCAGUAAACGAGCAAAGUAGAAAUAAUAAUAGCUAGAACAAAGAGCAAUAUUUGAACAUAAAAAAGAUGUAGAAUUACUGUUGACAGUAAGCACCUUCACAGGGACUAGAUUAUGAAAAAACUAUAUCUUAGAUCAACCUUGAUUGAUUGAGCACCACCAUAAAUUUUUCCUACUAAGAAUUGCUGUUGUCUUUAGGUUAUUGUAGAAUUUGAAAACAAUUUGUGUGGUGAACAAACACUAUUUUUGUGGUGGAUCUAACAUGACUUUGCCAUUAGAGCUCCUACACUGCAAAUGCUGCAGCAGCAGGAAAUAAACAGCAGCUUAAUUCCAGCACAAAAAAAAAAAACUUUGUACAAAAUAAAAAUGUCCAAAUAUGGAUUGUAAAUUAGUGAAAAAGCGUAACUUGGGCAUAAAUUACUCACGGUAACACUCCAGCUAUAUUGCCAGCCAAUCCGGAAUACAAGCCCUUCCAUUCAAUUUUGCUUCCACCACGAGCAGCCUACAGAACAAAGCAAAUUCCAGUACAAUGUAUCUUACAUAUUAUUUCGAUUAAAUUGUAGUAAGAUAUAUCUUCCAUAUCAUCUACUAUCUCGACAAACUUAACAGCAACAAUAAAAAGAUAACACCUAGCAUAAUCAUGGAUCUUGCACAGAAAAAAAGAGUAAAAAGCAUGAAGAGGGCAUUUUACACAAAUCUCAUGAAAAUAGUAGCUGCUAUAUAGUUUCCAUCCACAUUAGUAUGGCAACUUCCAUGGUGAAAAUGAUAAUUCAUUAGAUAUCUGCAAAGUUAACUAUUACAUGAGAAUCUGGACUAGCAUUUUGGCCUUGUUGAAGAUCUCGAGAUGUUAUAUACACCGUCUGCCAUGUGUAAGUGGCAGAUGCACAAGCAUACGAACAGACAUGACACGUAUAUGUGUGUCCAUGUAUUUAUAGAUGAAGCGCAUACAUAUAUAGCAAAAGGCAAGCUCCAAUUAGAAUUAUUCUUCAAAGCUGUUAAAAUCAUUCGUUCAAAACAGCUACCCCAUCUAAUCAGAACUCCAAAUUGGAGUUUUGAUGUAUUAAAAUAUUGGGGUUUUAAAUAGCAGCUACUAUGGCUGCUAUAGCAACUGCUGUAGUAGUUUUAAUAGAUAAAUGCUAUGCUAUGCUGUUGAAAGCAGAAUAUAGUGGACUGGGAUUGUAGAGCCUGGGGUUAUAGUGGCCGCUAUAGUGGCACAAAAAGCAAAUCCAUUUUAGACCUCAAUUUUCUAAAGAUUUGAUAGGUUGGUUAAAUCCUAAAAUCACUAAAAUCUUAAAAAAUUGUGCUAAUAGAAGAAAUAAACUAAUUAGUGAGUACUAGAGGAACUAUUCAAUCAUAAAUCUUAUGAGACACGAAUGAGAAAAUCAUGAUUGUAUUCGUAUGAAGAGAACAGUAACAUGGCGACAACACAAGUUUAUCGGUGACCAUUAAGGACCACCACGGUUAUGAAGGAUCACUAUGCUAAGUGGGAACACUAUUUGGAAUAUAGAUGUACAAAAACUACAAAUGUUAUACUUCUAUAUUUGAAACUAAGAUGUUAUUACAAAUGCAGUUAUAAUAUAUUCAUUUAAAUAAUUUAUUAUAAACUCCUCUAUCAACAAUCUGCUUUGAUAUCCUCCAAUCACCAUGUACCAACUAUCCGCUACUUAUAACCUUGAAAAACAUUCAAAAGGCAUUUUAUAUUCAAAAGGUUACUACCUACUUAAGCUUAAAAAGUUAAAAACAAGACACCAAAGAUGACUAAUACAUGAAUAAUGCUUUUAUUUAUGAUUGACCUGCCUGCAGCCUUGUCUUUAUUGUAUCAAUCGGAUAUAGAACUGUUUCAACAACAACACCAGCAGUGCCUCCAGCGAUAACACCCUCUGGAAAAAUAAAAGAGAUAUAACUCACAAACAAAGUAAUUGUAUUUCUGAUACAUUUAGUGUAAAGCUAAUAUAUUUCACAAAUGUAUGCAUUCUAACUGUCACAAAAGCCAUGCAAUUUAUGAGCGAACCGAACAAAAAAAUUCUAGAAUAUAUUUAUUAAGAAGAUCGAGGAUAUGAUUAAGAAAUUUUCUAAUGCAAUUUAGCAAUGCUUCAACAGGGAAUACAACAAAUUAACAACUCAUAAUUGUUUCUUACAGAAAGAAAGCCCACGAAGAAGCAAACAAAUUUUCAUUUUCGAAAAACUUAACAAGGCUUCUACAACCAAAAACCAUCGAUUGUGAUGCCAUCUUGCAUAAUUAUCCUGCCUUAUAAAAGCUGGUCCAGGGGCUUGGAAAAUUUUAAUGUUUUAAACUUGGUUAUUUAAUUCAGGAACUCUAAAAACCAACAGAUAAUCCUAGAUACAUGAAUCUUACUCUGAAUGAGCCCACCAAACCGUAUGCCUUAUAAGCUGAUUCCGUUGUCUCAAUUAGAAAUACAACAUUAGGGAUUUCUAGUAAGCAUUUCAAUCAACAUAUUAUGGUCAAACAGCUAAUUAUCAAGUUUAGAUAAGGAGGAAUGUACCAAACAAAGUGCGGAGAAAAUCAAAAGGCUUUUCCUCUCCCAUGGUGACUGAUGCGAACAGCUUUUGCGGGACCACGACCGAGUCAUGCAAUUUACUCGUGCAUGCUAGAUAAAAAGCAACAAAAAGACUGAUCACUGGCCUGGAAACAAAACUAGGGGUAUGUCAACAACAGGAACCACUAUUUCCAAACUUAGCUACUCAAUUUGAAGCAGUGAGAAAUCAAAUAACUCCUUUUAUCUUUUCACACAAAAAAUGAUUUAUGAACCAGCGACGAGAAAUUAAGUCAGAAAUAUGGAUUUUCAGAUAAUGUAUAUGCAUAUAUGUAUACUUUUAAGUUUUAAGAAAAGAAAAAAAAAAAACCCUAAGCAUGGAUCCAUGCCUGAAAAAUUUACCUGGUGAAGUUGUAGGAGAUCUCCUACCAUCGAGAGCCAAUGUUGGUCCCAUCAAAAUCUACUAAUCAAAUACCUUGAAUUAAGGUGAAUAAAAAAAGAAAAACCAGAAUUGAAAGGCUCUGAUUACAAUCCUACACAAGUUCAUCAGCAAAUAAACUCCUCCAGCUACUCUAAAUCAGUAGAUUCAUUAAAA